rnacentral:lncRNA from 1 species
GCCAACGGCGCUUUCGUAAUGGAGUUCGGUGCCCAUGUUAUCGUAGUUGGGUCGAUGUGGUUGGGUGAAUUGUGGACAAUAUAGUUGCCUGAAUUAGGAUAUUGAAUCAUUUUGGAAAUGAAGCAAUGGUUCCUGAGGUGUACUAUAGUUAAACAAUGGUUGGGUGUUUUGGUGAUGAGAUGUUUAGGUGAUCAUUGAAAGGGGGCUACGAUGAAGUGAACCGUAUGAAUCAUCUGACCUAUAGACUGUUGUGGUGGCUGCGUAUGAUUGUUGGUGGGUAGGGUUUGAUUCUUGGUUUUAAGGUUGGGUGUGUGGCAUGAAUGAGUUGUGAGGUUGGGUGUUUGGUUGUUGGGUGUAUGUGGUAGGGUGAUGGUGUGAAGUUGGUUGUUGGGUUUGGGUGGUUUGACAUUGGUGUUGGACGGGGACUUGUUGUUGGGCGUAUGAUGACGAAACUAGUUGGCGUGGAUCAAUCAAAUACCUUGGCUCAGACACAAAUUGUUGCGUUGUAACCGACCUAAACCAUACCAUAUAUUGUUGAGUAGGUCUAGCACCCUGUAUGACUGGUUCGCUUAAGAUGUGUUGUCGUCGAUUCCUCCAAUGACGAUACAUCUCUUUCACAUGGAACUAUCAGUUUAUUGUAAAGUUGAUAGAACUAAUGCAUUGAGGUAUAAAAUUUAUUGUAGAAACGAGCACUGCCUUUUCAGGUUGUCAGCUUCGUAUAGGAAGAUAAGUGAUUCUUGGGAGAUCGGAUCCAUGAACUCAAUGCAAGACCAUUGAAAACUUAGCUCUCAGUUAAUAUGCGAUGAAAUUUUGUUUGUCAUUAGCGACAAUCCUUCAUUAAAGGUGAGUACAAUAAUCUCGCAUAUUGUAGCACAAUACAAAUAUACCCCAUCAUAUAGGAAGACUUGGAUAGUUAGGACAAAGAUGGUUGAAAAAGUGUAUGGCAAUUGGGAGGAGUCUUAUAAACAACUUCCAAAAUACUUGUUGGCUCUUAAACAGUAUGCUCCAGGGACUAUUGUCAAGUUGGAAACGUUGUCGACGUAUACAUCGGACGAGACUUGUGCUAUUGGAAAUUGAAUAUUUCACCGUCUCUUUUGGACGUAUCAACCAUGCAUCAAAGGUUUUUCUUUUUGUAAAUCUAUUAUACAAAUUGAUGGUAUAUGGUUGUAUGGGAAAUAUAAAUGAACGUUACUGAUGGCAGUGGCACAAGAUGGCAACAUCAACAUUUUUCCAAUCGCCUUUGCCCUUGUUGAAGGGGAGACUGCUGAUGGAUGAAGUUUUUUCCUAAGAAAUCUCUGAUUCCACGUUGUUCAUCAAUCUAACUUAUGUUUGAUCUCCGAUCGACACCCUUCAAUAGUAAGUGCAUGCAACCGAUGAAAAAGAUUCAUGGGAGAAGUACAUAGAUUCAUUGGAGUUAUAUUCAUUUUAGAAUGUAGAAUACAAUUAUACACGUUUUCAUUGUAUGGAUUCAAGUUUAAGAUAAUAUCAUCUAUUAUGCUCUUUGUAAUUUGAUAUAUAUUCUGGCAUUCUGUUUCUUACUUUCGUUUACUAAUAGUAUACGAAACCAAUGUUUUAAAAUUGUGGCAUUCUAUUUCUUACUUUCGUUUAUUAAUAGUAUACGAAACCAAUGUUUUAAAACUCUGGCAUUCUAUUUCUUACUUUCGUUUACUAAUAGUAUGCGAAACCAAUGUUUUAAAGAUUCGGUCAAACUACAAAUAAUUAUGUUAUUGAUAGGAUCAAUGGAUCACUUUUCGGACACAUGAAUUUUAAUAAUGUAAAAAUAUAACUUUUUUUUUGAUAAUAUGAUUUUUUUUAAAAAACUUUUGUUAAUUUAAAAUAUUACUAUAUUAUAUAAUUAAUUGCCUAACAUUUUAAACUUAUUAUAUUUUUAUAUUGAAUGAUUAAUAAUAAGUUAAGUUUAAUGAAAAUUAUAAUGUUAUAAUUAUAGAAUAUAUAACUCUCUUCGCAUUAAUUAAAUUAAACAUCAAAGAGAUUCAUAGUGCAAUUGAUAAAAUUACAAUCCUAAUAAUUUUGAAAGGUUACAAGUCCGAUUCUUAAAAUUUGACAAAAUUUUAUUUUUAGAAUUUUAAUAUUAUUUAGUUAUUAAUAACAUAAUUAUAAAUAUUAAUAAAAUCAAAUUUAAAAACAAGAGCCCAAAUUUUAAGAAAAGUGAAAAUAUGAGAUAAAAAUUAUAAUUAAGCUAAAAAAUAAUAAACUUAAAAAGAUUAAUUUGCCGUAUCAAGAAACUCAUCGGUUCACUAGUUUGACUAGUGAACCGGUUGGAUCACACCGGUUUUCACCUGGUCAAUUACAGUUAUGGUUUAAUUGUUAUAAGUAAUUCAUAUUCAGAAGUAGUAUUGUUAAUCAGAAGCAGGAGCUUCUAAUGUGGUUGUUACAGAAGUAGUGUUUAGCUUUUAGUUGUAGUUGAUUUUAAGUUUUUCAUAAGGUGCAUUACUCAGCUAGCAUAGAUUAGCAUUUUGCCUACGUGUCAUUUUUGUUUGUGUAUAUAAAUCAAACGUGUAAUAGAAUUUCAUAAUGCAAUCAAUAGAGUUUCUCUCAAAAGUUAGUUAGAUAUCUCUCUCUCUCUCUCUCUCUCUCUCUCUCUCUCUCUCUCUCUCUCUCUCUCUAUAUAUAUAUAUAUAUAUAUAUCAAUCUUCAUCUUCAACCUUGUGCACCAAAAAUUGGUAUCUAGAGCUCCGAUUCGAUUCACAGGGAAACACGAGUGUAUUCUAUAUAUAUAUAUAUAUAUAUAUCAAUCUUCAUCUUCAACCUUGUGCACCAAAAAUUGGUAUCUAGAGCUCCGAUUCGAUUCACAGGGAAACACGAGUGUACGGUCAUGCGUGUGUGAUUGAUUUCAUUUCUUGAAUUCUGAAUUCAUGACCGGAAUCUUAACAGAAUCAUAUUUCUUGAAUUUGAGGGAUUGGGAAACACGAGUGUUUGGUGAGAUUUGUGUGAGUUUCAGUGCACAAAAUUGAAGAUGAACGGCGAAAAUGGUAGCUUGAAUACAAAGCUUCCAGUGUUUGAUUGAAAGAGUUGGAAUCAGUGGUGGAUUCAUAUGUGUGUGUUGUUUGGCGCUCAAGACAUUCUUGAUCUCGCCAACGACAAUUAUGUUCUGGUUGCGAAGGAUGUGAUAGAAGCACAAAGAAAUGUGUAAAUAGAAAUGAGGAAGAUAGAUUAAAAGGCGUUGUUCUAAAUCCAUUAGUGUAUGGAUGCGAACGUGUUUGAGAAAAUUGUUGAUUCGACGACGCCGAAAGCUGCGUGGGACACACUGGUACAGUGCUACAGCGGUGAUGCAUAAGUGAAGAAGGUAAAGCUUCAGUCUCUACGUAAACAGUAUGAGAAUCUCGACAUGAAGAGCAAUGAGCAGAUACCUGAUUAUAUCUCUAGAGUGAUUCUGAUCACCAAUGAAGUGAAAUCUUAUGGAGAAACUUUGUUAGAACAAGUAAUCUUUGAAAAGGUAAUGAGAUCUCUUACUCCUCAAUUUGAUUACAUUGUUGUAGCAAUUGAACAUUCUAAAUACCCCAUCACCAUAAGGAUUGAAGAGCUACAUAGCAGUUUAGAGGCACAAGAGUUGCGUCUGACUGUGAGAACCUCUGAAAGAGAGGUAGAGCAGGCUCUGAAGGCGUCUUGGUCAGAAGCUAAGAAGAGACACGGUGGUGGUUUUAGAAGUCAGAAGCCUCCAAUUCUGGUGAGAAGAAACAUCAUAAGGGAAAGGAGAAGUUUGACAAGAAGAAUGUUCAAUGUUACUGUUGUAAGAAGUUUGGCCACUUUGCUGCUGACUGUUGGUCAAACAAGGAAAGGAAAUCAAAAGAAACAAACAUAGUCAAAGAAGAUUCUGAUGAUGAACUUGUGUUAUUGAUGGCUUCUAAAUUUGAUGGUGCGUAUUUGGUAGACUAGUGGUAUAUGGACACUAGCUGCUCAAAUCACCUAUCUGGAAACAAACAAUGGCUGGUUGAUUUUGACUCCAAAAAUAUGAUAAAGAUCAGAUGUGCUGAUGAUAAAUACCUUAAUGCUGAAGGUAUGAGAAAUGUCAAAGUCAAGGUGAAGAAUGGUAAAAUUGUUCUGAUCAAGGAUGUUUGGUAUGUUCUUGGCAUGAAGAGCAAUCUUAAGAAUGUAAGUUAGCUCAUUGAGAAAUGUUUCUCAGUUACUAUGAAGAACAAUCUCUUGAAGUUGUAUGGUUCUGAUCAGAAUCUAAUUAUGCAAUCUAAGCAGGGAAGUAACAGAACAUUCAAGGCGAAUGUGGAGAAAACUGAAACUACAUUCCUUGGUGUAGAAGACACUAAAGGUGAGAGUGAGUUGUGGCACAAGAGAUUAGAGCAUCUUAAAUUUAGAAGCUUAUGGCAUAUGAAUUCUAAGAAGCUGGUAUAUGGCAUUCCCAAGAUUGUGAAGCCUGAGAAUUCAUGUGAGAUAUGCAUGAAAGGCAAGCAACCUAGAUUGUCAUUUGCAUCAGAAGUAGCCAUGAGAGAAAACAUGCUUUGGGAGUAGUACACUUUGAUGUUUGUGGAUCAUUUGAAGUACCUUCACUUGGAGGAAACAAAUAUUUUGUGUCAUUUGUGGAUGACUUUACAGUAAUUACAUGGGUAGCACUCAUCAAGUUUAAGCAUGAGAUGUUUGCUGAGUUUCAGAAGUUCAAGGUGAAGGCUGAAAAACAUAGUGGUCAGAAGUUGAAAGUUCUCAUAACUAACGAUAAAGGUGGGUAUAACUCUACAGAGUUCAGAAAGUUUUGUAUGGAAAAUGAAAUUGAGCAUGAGGUGGCAACUCUAUACACUCCUCAACACAAUGGUCUUGUUGAAAGAAGAAAUCAAACUUUUCUUGAUAUGAGAAGGAGCAUGUUGAAGGAGAAAAAGCUUCCUCAUACCUUGUGGGAGAAGUUGUUGCCACUGCAACAUAUAUGCUCAACAUGUGUCCAAUAAAGAAGCUGAAGGAAACUGCUCCUUUUGAGAAGUGGACUGGUGAUAAGCAAAGUGUGAGUCAUUUUAGGAUAUUCGGUUCUGUUUGUUACAAACAUGUUCCAGGUGCUACUAGAAAGAAGUUGGAUGAUAGAAGUAAAGUAAUGUUACUGAUUGGGUAAUACAGUACAGAUGCGUAUAAGCUUUAUUGUCCAGUCACUAAUAAGGUGGAAUUAGCAGAAAUGUUGUUGUGAAAGAAUCAUAAGCAUGGGAUUGAAAUGAGUCUCAAUCCAAUGUUAGUGCAAUGUUAACACAUGAGUUAACUUCUGAAUAGAUUUAUGACUCUAAAGGAGAAUAUGCUUCUGAAGGGGAUUCUGCCUCUGAAGAUGAGUCAGAGUCUGAUGGUGAUUCUGAGCCUGAAGGUGAGUCAGAGUCUGAUAGUAACUCUAAAUUUGAAGAAGACUCAGAAGGUGAAUCUGAUGAUGAUUCAGAUUCUGGUGGUAAUCCAACCUCUGACGGUGGUCAUGCCUCUAAAGGUGGACCUUCUGAAGGUGGUUCAGCCUCCGAAACCAGGCCACGGAGAAUCGUCAGAUACCACAGAUAUUUGCAGAGUUUGACAUGUUGCAAAAUACUGAGAUAGACUCUAAAGAGGAAGUUAUUUAGUGUGUCAUGUUAGUAGACUCUGAACCAGUUAGUAUUGAAGAAACUCUCAAGAAGAAAGUGUGGAUGAAGUCCAUGGAAAAAAACUUAAGGCUAUAGAAAGAAACAAUACUUGGGAUUUGACUGAGCUUCCAAAGGAGAAGAAAGUCAUCAGCGUCAGAUAGGUUUUCAAGGUGAAGUUAAAGCCAAAUAGAUCAAUUGGAAAACACAAAGAAAGGUUAGUAGAAAGAGGAUUUCUCUUGAAACCUGGAUUAUAUUAUUUUGAAGUGUUUGCACCUGUAGCUAGACAUGAAACAGUCAGAUUGGUGAUUGUUAUAGCUGCUAAUAGAAAUUGGUCUCUAAUACAUCUGGAUGUGAAAUCCUUCUUUUUGAAUGUUCCAUUGCAAGAAGAGGUAUACGUGUCACAACCUCCUGGAUUUAUUAAAAAGAAUCAGAAAGGGAUGGUGUAGAGGUUACAUAAAGCGUUGUAUGGACUGAAACAAGCUCUGAGAGCUUGAAAUCUGAAAAAUUGAUUCAUUUUUCAAGCUCCAAGGAUUCUAAAAGUGUGAGAUAGAGUAUGGAGUUUAUGUCCAACGUAUUUCUGAAGGCAAUAUGAUUUUGGUGUGCCUUUAUGUUGAUGACAUAUUGCUAACAGGAAGUUAUUCAGAUGAGUUAUUCAAGUUCAAGAAGGUGCGGAUGAAUGAGUUUGAGAUGACUGAUCUGGGAAAUAUGGUAUAUUUUCUAGGAAUGGAGAUUUUGUACUCUGAGAAAGGUAUCAUUUUGCAUCAGCUGAAGUAUGAACGUGAUAUUAUGAAGAGAUUUAAGCUAACAAAUUGUAAGACUGCAAUCACGCCUGCUGAGACGAAUCACAAGUUGGAUUCUGAUGUUGAGGGUGAUGAUGUAGAUGCUAUAACUUUUAAACAAUCGGUUGGCUCAUUGAGGUAUUUGUCUAACAUCAGACCUGAUAUAUGUUAUGCAGUUGGAAUGGUAAGUAGGUUUAUGAACAAACCAAAGUGAUCACAUUACCAAGUUGCUGUCAGGAUUCUGAGGUAUAUUAAGGGGACUUUGAAGUAUGUAGUAUUGUUUCCUUCUGGUGUUAAAUCUGAUUCAGAGCUGAUAUGUUAUUCAAACUCUGAUUGGUGUGGAGACAAAUUUGACAAAAGAAGUACUUCUAGAUAUUUUUUCAAGUAUUUGGGAGGUCCUACCUCUUGGUGCUCCAAGAAGCAAUCAGUGGUUGCAUUGUCAACCUGUGAAGUCGAGUAUAUUGCAGGUGCUUUGUUUGUGUGUCAAAUACUAUUUGGCUUAUGACUUUGUUGUAGGAUUUGAAGAUCAUAGUGAACAAGUCUGUGAAGCUAAUGAUUGACAAUAGAUCAACCAUAAGUCUUGUCAAAAAUCCAGUGAUGAAUGGAAGAAGCAAGUAUAUUGACGCGAAGUUUCAUUUUAUGAGGAAUCAGAUUCAGAAUGGGGUGCUAAAAGAUGUGCAUCAGAAGCAAAUUGCAGAUGUUCUGACUGAAGUUGUGAAGACUGAACACUUUGUCCACCUGAGGGAUGAAAUUGGUGUCGUAGAGUUUAGUUAGCUAAAUAUGAUUUAAGGGAUGGUGUUAAAAGUAAUCCAUAUUCAAAAGUAGUAUUGUUAAUGAGAAGCAGAAGCUUCUGAUGUGCCUGUUCCAGAAGUGGUGUUUAGCUUCUGGUUAUAGUUAGUUUUAAGUUUAUCAGAGGGUGCACUACUCAGCUAGCGUAGGUUAGCAUUUUGUCUACGUGGCAUUUUUAUUUGUGUAUAUAAACCAAAUAUGUAACAAAAUUUUAUAAUGCAAUUAAUAGAGUUUCUCUAAAAAGUUAGUCAGAUCUAUUUUCUCUCUAUUCUCUCUCUCCAUCUUCAUCACAUUCCUCUUCAAUCUUGUGCAUCAACACCAAUGAUCUUACCGGACCGCUCUACCCUCCAGUUCACGGUCUAACCGGUCCGAUCGACUGUUGUUAUUGGUAUAUGAAAUGCUUUGUUUUAUCCAUCGAUAAUUAUUAACUGGUAAUUUCCUAGUUAAUUAACUACUUGUGUUACAAAUUCUAAACAUUAAUUAGAGAAAGUUAUGAUCUGAGACUUCUAUUAACUUGAAUGUUUAACCUACACACUCAAACAACUCGUCCAAUCGAUAAAUUAUUCUUGUUUUGUUAUCAUCAAAAUGUUAAAAAUAAGUCAUUAUUAUUUUACAAUUGUUUAUAAACAACUUGUUUCUUAAAAAAUUGAUUUUCUUUACAAAACACUAUUGUGUUUCAAUCUACCAAGCACAACACAAACACCUCUAAGAAUAGGCGCAGUGUUCGAUAUGUAUCGGCGUUCAACACUUAUAUGACACUCGUACGAUACGUGUUGAAAAAGUCAAACAAUUUUCGAAAAAAAUCACACAAAUAUAUCCAAAUAAAUGAUUCAUUUUCUUUGCAUCGACACUCUUAAAAUCAGUGUCAGACACCAUAUGACAACCCUCAUACAACAAGUGUCGACAAUUAUAGAAGUGUUUAAAAAUGACUAUGUUUUGAUUAGAUAUAUAUAUAUAUGUUUUAUAUUUUUGAUAAUAUUAGUGUCAGAGUGUCUGUAUCAGUUCGUGUUUUGUUGUUCGUACUUCAUAGGUUUCAAUUAGGUAAAAAAAAAUGAUAAAUCACUACUAAAUGUGUUAUACAUUUGGCAAAAGACACAUUUUGUAAUUUAGUUAGUUAGCAAAUACUAGUAGUAAGCAAUAAAUAUCGAUUUUCAGUUAAUGAGUUACACACAACCAAGUUAUUUAUAGGAACAUCGAUAAUAAUUUAAGGAUUAAUUACAAAAACUAUAAAAUUUAAGGUGGCCUAGUUUUUUUCUGAAUAAAUAAAUAUAUCGAAAUUUUGAAAUGUGAAUAAAUAAAAAAAGACUAUGAUGUAUACCUUCUAACAUGAAUAAAAUAAUUAAUUAAGUGAAAGUAUUUUAAGAAAUAAAAAUUUCAAAUUAUUUUUGGGGAGAUGCAAAGAGAAAUUUUGAUUUUCACUAUACCACUCAUUUUAUAUAUGGCAUGUUUCAAGUGUCAAUACAUUGUGUAUUAUUCUAUUACUCUCAGGAGUUCUCAAAACAAAUAUGUCAUUUCAAAUUUAUUUAUAGGCUAACUCUUAGCGUGUUGUUAAAAAUGUUAAAUUAACUUAAAACUUAGUAUAUAUUAGUUAAGUUAAAUAAAUGUAAAAAGUGAUUGAUAUUUAUAAAUCAUGUCAAAAUAUUUAAUAAAUUUUGUAAUUACAAAAUUAAAUAGACAUUCUUAUUUAUUGAACAAUUACAAUAAAAAUGAUUUUAUAAUAUGUUCUACUUGUGCAUAUAUAUGUGUGUUUUCAAGCAAAUAGUGUAUUAUUCCAAUGAAUAACUUUAUUACGGUCCAACAACAAAAUAUCUUUUUACUGUCAUGAAAGGUUAAAAAAUAGUAAUAAAUUGUUAAAAAAGAAAAUUUUCUCUUAUCUAUCAUGAAAGGUCAACAAAAUUCUUUUUGCUAUGAAGUAAUUUACUUAAGAGAUAUUGAAUAAUACUUAUAACUUUAUGAAGUGUGUUUUACACUUUGUAAGUGCUACAAACCAUUUAAUUAUUUAUAGAAGAGCAUGAAUUUAUACAAUAAAAGAGAUCAAAUUUUGCAAACAAAGAAGAAGAAAUAUGGUUGGAAUUAUUAAGCUUCGCUACAUUAUGAUUAUAUUUCUUUCCUUAUUUCUUGUUGCAGCAAAAGUUGAUGAUGGUAAGUCAUUAUUUCAUGAUUUUCAAAUUUAUUUCUUUAAUUGAUAGUUCUUACACAAUAUAUUAUUACAUUUUAGUAAUUUUAAUUUAGUUUUUUCUUACAGAUUAUUAUGAACCAUAUUGUGAAAUUGAUUCGGAUUGUCUUCAAGUAUGGAACACAUACUAUGUUUGUAAGUGCAUUAAUGAAAGAUGUAAAUGGGUUAAAAGAGACCCUUGAAUGUACCAAAACACCUUAUGUAGGAGAAUAUGUUGUUGUGAUAGCAGGAAAAAAAAUGUGCAACAUACCUUAUGAAAGAAUAUUUCUUGAAUUUGUGAUUUUGCACGUUAAGAUGUUAAUUAGAUAUAACACAUUUCUUGAAUUUAUGAUUUUGCACGUUAAGAUGUUAAUUAGAUAUAACACAUAGUAUUAUUUAGAUUGCAUUUAUCUCACUUAAUUUUAGAGAUAUUAUCAUGACAUUCAAUUCACACGCAUUACACCUUAUUACUAAACCCGUUAGAUAUAAGAAUAAUUUUAAUAGUUAGGAAAGAAAUAGAAUGAGAUCAAGAGAGGAAGAAAUAUAAUUGAAAUAUAACUAGAGAGAGAAUAGAAUAAGAAUAAGAGAUCUUGCUUGAGCUAAGGUCUUGAAAUUUAGAGAAAAAAUAUAUGGAAGAGGGAAGAAUAUAUAACCAGAGAAAAACUUUGAUAAAGAUAGACUUGUCCCUUAGUGACAAAUACAAACUCAUUUUUAACUAGUGAUUUUACAUUUAUUUUUACUAAUGUUACUAUUAAAAUACUAUGAAUUAUCUCCCACUAAAUAUCGCCUAUCAGAGCACAGACCCAUAAUGAUAACUAACAAAGGUCACAUCAAAAAAUGAGGAUACAUAAAAUCCAGAUGCAAAAAUACAUGCAAAUCUUAGAAGGUAAAACUACAAUAACGUGUAAAGUGCAUUUUCGAAAAGGCGCACCCAUGCAUAGAAAAUUGUUAGUUUGUGUGACAUUUGUUACGAGGAAGAAAAAAUAUUCAGAGAAUGAAAAUAAGUAUUGAUAUUAUUGAAUAUUAUUGUUAUUGUAUUGUGUUACAAAAUUGAAUUACAAAAUAUCUAUUUAUAUAUGAUUAAGUGACUUGACUACUAAGUAACAAAUAUAACAAACCCUAAACCUUAAUUAAUUUUGACUUGAGCCACACACAACUUGGAUUAUAUUACUUAUAUCUCAACACACCACAUAUAAUUCGAGUUGUCGAACAAACACUAAUUAUAGUCGAUCUAAAUUAUUCCCAAUUUCUUUCUCAAAUUUAGGAAUAUGUCGAUCUUCAAUCCUUUGGUGAAAAUAUCGACUAACUCUGCUUCACUUGAGCAAUGUCUCACUUCAUGUUCACCCUGGUUAACCUUCUCCCUUAGGAAAUGAAACUUAGCCUUAAUGUGAUUACUUCUCCCAUGCAAAAUUGGAUUCUUCGAAAUAUUUACGACUUACUCAUUGUCGAUCUGCAACACCAGAGGUUUCUUCACUUCGAUCUCAAUCUCUUCCAGCACAUAUAUAAUCCAUAUUGUUUGACACACGUCAUAAGAUCCCGAUAUAUAUUUAGUCUCACACGAUGACAAUGCCAACAUAGGUUGCUUUCUCGACCACCAUGAGAUUGGGGCACCAAAUACUUGAAACAAAUAACCACUUGUGCUUCUUCGAUCUUCCUUAUCUCCACACCAAUUAGCAUCUGAAUAGCAAGUAUCUGUACAUGUAGCGGGGUAUUCGUUACCAUUAGAGAUAUUGACUAAAUCCAAGGUAAAUCAUACAAGUCGAGUCGCCACCGCACUUCUAUUUAUCCAAGGGAAUGGUUAGAAAGCGAACAAAAACCUAAUAGUUUUAUCNNNNNNNNNNNNNNNNNNNNNNNNNNNNNNNNNNNNNNNNNNNNNNNNNNNNNNNNNNNNNNNNNNNNNNNNNNNNNNNNNNNNNNNNNNNNNNNNNNNNNNNNNNNNNNNNNNNNNNNNNNNNNNNNNNNNNNNNNNNNNNNNNNNNNNNNNNNNNNNNNNNNNNNNNNNNNNNNNNNNNNNNNNNNNNNNNNNNNNNNNNNNNNNNNNNNNNNNNNNNNNNNNNNNNNNNNNNNNNNNNNNNNNNNNNNNNNNNNNNNNNNNNNNNNNNNNNNNNNNNNNNNNNNNNNNNNNNNNNNNNNNNNNNNNNNNNNNNNNNNNNNNNNNNNNNNNNNNNNNNNNNNNNNNNNNNNNNNNNNNNNNNNNNNNNNNNNNNNNNNNNNNNNNNNNNNNNNNNNNNNNNNNNNNNNNNNNNNNNNNNNNNNNNNNNNNNNNNNNNNNNNNNNNNNNNNNNNNNNNNNNNNNNNNNNNNNNNNNNNNNNNNNNNNNNNNNNNNNNNNNNNNNNNNNNNNNNNNNNNNNNNNNNNNNNNNNNNNNNNNNNNNNNNNNNNNNNNNNNNNNNNNNNNNNNNNNNNNNNNNNNNNNNNNNNNNNNNNNNNNNNNNNNNNNNNNNNNNNNNNNNNNNNNNNNNNNNNNNNNNNNNNNNNNNNNNNNNNNNNNNNNNNNNNNNNNNNNNNNNNNNNNNNNNNNNNNNNNNNNNNNNNNNNNNNNNNNNNNNNNNNNNNNNNNNNNNNNNNNNNNNNNNNNNNNNNNNNNNNNNNNNNNNNNNNNNNNNNNNNNNNNNNNNNNNNNNNNNNNNNNNNNNNNNNNNNNNNNNNNNNNNNNNNNNNNNNNNNNNNNNNNNNNNNNNNNNNNNNNNNNNNNNNNNNNNNNNNNNNNNNNNNNNNNNNNNNNNNNNNNNNNNNNNNNNNNNNNNNNNNNNNNNNNNNNNNNNNNNNNNNNNNNNNNNNNNNNNNNNNNNNNNNNNNNNNNNNNNNNNNNNNNNNNNNNNNNNNNNNNNNNNNNNNNNNNNNNNNNNNNNNNNNNNNNNNNNNNNNNNNNNNNNNNNNNNNNNNNNNNNNNNNNNNNNNNNNNNNNNNNNNNNNNNNNNNNNNNNNNNNNNNNNNNNNNNNCAAAAGCCUUAAGGUCUUUUGUUAUCAAAGGGAGAAAACUCAACCUAAAACCACAAAUCCACCAUGUGAGGAUAGCUUCAACAUGCUAGUGAGGGGUUAACCCUAUAAUAAGCAUGGAAGACUCAUUGUCCAUCACUAAGGAUAUAGGUGAGUAUCACAUCUACCACAAGGAUAACUCAAACCUAAUAGCUAAAGGUUAUAAAAAAAAUUGAUUAAGGAGAUGGCCGUUGGAACCGCAAAAGACAUUUGAGUGGGUUAUAUUUACCAAUUAGAAGUAUAUACAAAAAUGGUCAAAGUUGACUUAAAAGUUCAAUUCAAAAUAAGUGUUAUGAAAAGAAAGUUUGAAAAUCAAAAGCAUAAGGCUUAGGUUUCUAAUGUUGAAAACAAUAGUUAAAUGUUUGCACAAAAGGUUUUGGCUUGGGUUAGAGUGGAGAGAAGAAGAAGAAGGGGCUAAGUCCUAAGUAAAAAAAAAGGAGGGAUGAAGAAUCAAAACCACAAUGGAGUCCCUCUCUUGAGAUCAUACUGAUGAUCCAAGUAGCUCCCAUCCUUUGGAAUAAGCAAGCACAAAGCAUAAGCAAUCAAACAAGUCUCAUAAGAGAUCCUCAAGGUGUCUUGUAUGUUCCACUUGGAUGAACAUGGCAAUGGUCUUUCAAUUGAGCUCAUAGCAACCCUAGCACAAAAGCACGCACAUCAAAAGUUCCAAUGAAGUAAAACAAGAAUGGACAAGAGUGAGUUUAGAGAUUUGGUCCUUCUAAUCCAUCUUCAUCAUUAAGAUUCUUUUACUCCAAUUUUGCUUAAGGAAGGUCCUAGAAUCUAAGUCAAAUUCUCCAUUUCUUUGCAUAGGGGAAGUCCUAGAAACUAAGUCCAUUUCUUUGCAUUUGGUCCACAACAAUCAAAACAAAAACACAAGCACAAUAAUAUAUACACAAUUAUGUGCUCAAGUGAACAAAAGGCAAAUGGCAUUAACAUAAACAUGUGCUCAAGUGAGCAAAGAGAAAAGCAAAUGGAUAAUAUGUGCAAGAAUAGUAAAUUGAACAUAAAUUAUCAUAAAUUUGCAUUUAUAUAAAAGUUAAAUUGUCACAAUAGAUUAAAUGUAACUGUAGUUAGGUGUGCCAUAAGGCUUCAAAUUUAGCGCUUAUCCUGUUAUAGAACAACAAUACGUUAAUUGACAUUAUGAUGAGGAAAAGGCUAUCAGACUAUCUGGACGCCGGUCAAUAAUAAUAUAGUGCAACAAAACACAAGUUAGGAGUCUUGAUUAGCCUAACCCAAGUCCCAACCAACUUGUCCAUGUCCAAAAAUGAAGAAGAGAAUAUAUGAUCUUCGUAUGGCGUUUAUUAUGCCUUUUGCAUGUUUAGAAAGACAUACCUAUCCCCUAAAAAUGUCUCUAUAUAGAAUCAUUCAACUACAUCUAAAGACUAAUAUAAAUGAAUCAAGUAUGAAUUCGUUCAUAUGAACAAUCAAAAAAGAAUAAAUGAAAUUAUCUCUGCCAACCACAUGCUUAACCUUUAAUAACAAACCAUAAAUCAAGCUCCAAUUGAUUCAUACACGGGAGAAGAAUCAGUAGAGAAGCCAAAAAGAUGAAGAAAAGAGUGGAUAGAGAAGAGAAAUUAAAAUGCGGCAAAAAUUAAAGUGCAUUAAUGAAAUAAUCAAUGUACCAAUCCUCAAUGUUGACCAAUAACAUUGAAAGUCAAGGUCAAACAAUCAAAACAGAAGUGAGAUGAAGAUUGGGAAUCAAGAAAUGAAAAAAUUUAUUUUUGGCAUAUUUUAAUAUUUAAAAUAAACUUGAAUUAAAAUAAAAAGAAAAAGGUCAAACUUCAAAAUUACUUCAAUCAACUUGGAAGGUCCAAGUAAUUUAUUCCCAAGCUCAGACAAGGUCAAACAACAUUUGAUCUAAAAAAAAUUUCAAGCAUUUUUAAAGAUCAGGAACUAUUUUAAUCAAUUAAAAAUGAAUAAAAAAACCAAUAAUUGAAACUAAAUCUCAAAUAAAAUCUCAAUCAAUUCAAAAAUUGAUGGAGAAUAUUUUUCAUAGAUCCAUCAUCAUUCAAAUAGGUUAGGAAAAUAUUUUUUGUAUUUUUAAUGAAUAUCAAAAACUAUUUAAAAGAGAAUUAAAAAUAACCAGAAAAGAGAAAUUCAUAAAAAAUAUCAAAUGACAAAAUAAAAAUAUUAAAAUCAGAAAUAGAAACUAGAAUUUAUUUGGGAAAAUAAUGCAUUGGUCCCAUAAUUUUUGGAUAAAAAAUGAAAGAGAUAUUGAUUUUUGAAAAUAAAUUGGAAUUAAAGAAAUAAAAAACAGAAAUUAAAAAAAAUGCAAAAACAUGGAGCGUUAGAUCUGAGCUCAUUAAUUGAGCUGGCAGAUCACACGCUCCUAAGAUGCGCGCCCAUUGUGGUCUCUGGUCAAGCAAAGCACAUGGCAGAAAAAAUAAAAGUCAUAACAUGGAACGGUCCAGAUUAGAUCUGGAAACAAGAUCGUGUGGCCAGGAUUCAAACUGGAAAUGAUGAAGCCACCGGAGCCACCGUCUUCUCCGGUGAGCUUGGAUUUUCCGGCCAAAUUGCAAAAAUUCAAACCUUAAUGAAAAUGCACGAUCUAUACAUCUUUAGAAAGUUGGGAUGAUGUACAUCAUCCCUGUACCAUCCAUUUCCCCUCUAGAUCUCCGUAGUGUGAGAAAUCAGAGAUGGAAAAAUAUGGUGUUCAUCAUGAACUUAAUGGAUUUCAAAAAUUGAAGGCAUAAACAUGAUGCCUCUAUUGAGAGGACUUCGGCCAACACAAAAUCUAAGCCAAAAGGUCAAUGGAUUAGGAGAAUCGAAGAAAAUACCAAUUGGAAUGUGAGCUUGAGUUCUGGUAAUUUGAGCACUAUGCCUCGCUUGCUUUGCUAAAACAGAAGUUCAAUGAGAUAAAUGAUGAAGGUUUAGAAGCACUAGAUCUGAGAAUUCAACCAGAUGAAGUUGAAUUUCAGAUCUGAAAAAAUUGAGAAAAAUGAGCUUGCUCUUUAGUGAUGGCUAUGAAAGAAUUCUGCAGCAUUUCAGGUUGAAUUAGGCGUGUGAAUGAAUGGAAUGAGGUCUUCAUUUAUAGAGGAAGUGGCAAGGAGAGUGUGAAAUGAUCCGUGUGCAUGGCAUGUGAAGCUUCAUUGCAGGGCUUGCAUGAUCAUGCCCAGGCCCAAAAAUAAUGCAAAUGAACUCUGAGCAUCAGCACAAUGGAACUUGGAUCGCUGUGACUUUGCAAGGCAAUAGCUUAUGCACCAAGAUUUCAAGUGAAUUCCUCAUUUGUACCUAAACAAACAUCUCUUCGAAAAUACCAUUUAGAAAAUCCAAACAUAGGCAUAUGGAUAAUGGUUGGAAAGGUCUUUGUACGAGGAACAAAUGUUAGGUUGGACAAAAACUAAUUUUAAGUGUGGAAAUUUAUGAAAUUUGAGUUUAAGGUGUAAGGUGCAUGACAUGUCAAGGCAAGGUUUCUAAAAUUGGCCAACUUUCAAGCCCUUCUGUUUUGAUGAUGCAAGCCUCAAAUGGAAAACCUCCAAUAUGAAAGUUGUAGAUAUUUUCAAGACAAUCAAAAUGGACUCAAAUUUUGCAUCAUUUGGAUUUUUGAUGAAAGAGUUAUGGGCACUUGAAGUUGGACUUUUUGACUUUUAAUGCAUUUAGUCAAAAAGGACCUAUAAUGUCUUGCAUUAUCACAUGUAUUUCCUAUGAGAUUUUGAAAUUUUGUUCAACAUAACAUUUGAAGUAGAUAUCUUAAUAUUUCCAAUACAUUUGAUCCCACCUCAAAAUCAUAAAAAAUGAAUGAGUUAUGUCCUUGGGAAGUUGACCCACAAUUAGGGUUUCAGUCAAAAUGACCUAUAAUGUAUUGGAAUAGAAGAUGGCCUUCCAAGCUUCAAAUCAAUUUUUGAUGAACAUGAAAGUUGUUCGUAUUGUCCUUAAGAACAUUUUUGCUUUUGGAACCAUCUCCAUUUGACCAACACAUAAAACGUUAGGUCUCAGUGCAUUUCAAAAUAGUUAGAUGAAUUGACUGAUCAACUUCUCAAGUCCACAACCCAUAUCUUGAUGAAUUGAUGAUUGAGGACACUCAAAUAAGUUCAAAUAUGCAUGAAAUUAAGAGUUUGUGCAUUUCAAAAUAGUUAGAUGAAUUGACUGAUCAACUUCUCAAGUCCACAACCCAUAUCUUGAUGAAUUGAUGAUUGAGGACACUCAAAUAAGUUCAAAUAUGCAUGAAAUUAAGAGUUAAAGAAAUUCCCUUGAUUAUAUUUGACCAUGGGCUGAGGUUGCUUCAUGAGCAAGGCAUUGUGAUGCACAGAGGAAUUAGGGUUUCUCCGAAGAACAAGAUCUCAAACCCUUUGACUUGCUUGAUAAAAAAUGAUGCAUUGAGGUACUAGGGAGGCAUACUUGAUGAAUGAGAGCUUUGGGAACCAUUACCAUGCUUGCUUUCAUCUCCUCUUGACCAUGUCUUUGUACCAAUGAUCUCCUGGAAGCUUUGGACUUUGUGAUUGCUCAAGCUACAAACAAAAGAUGUUAGUGACAUAUUUUUGUGCUUUUGGUUAGUAAACAAAAUGAGAAAAUCAAUGAUAUACAAUUCAAGCAUGCUUGGUGAUCUCAAACCAACUCACAGAAGGUCCCACCCAAAGGCAAAGGGAACCAAGAUGCUAAUGAUCCUUGAGGCUAUGCAAAUGAAAUAUUAUGAUGCCAUGAGGGAUCUUAGGGACAAAAUUGGGGUCUUACAGUACCUUCUUUGCUUUUAGAGCCUCGUCAAAAUAGAAUAGUUUAUCGAUCCUUUUAAGUAUCUCAGGAUUCUCCUUGUAGCCUUCAUGCGUGACACCCAUGGUUCACUCAUGUAUCUGCUAACUAAUCUGGUCAAGAAACCUAUAUCAGGUCGACUAUUGCACACAUCUCUCAGAGGUUCGAUAAUUUGUUUGAACAAAGUUGCAUCGACUUUAUCUUUCUCUCCAUGCUUCUCCAACUUAAAAUUUGGUUCGGCAUGAGAAGAUGCAUGAAUCGAAUCAUCCAUCAUGAAUCUCUUGAGUAUCUUUUUGACAUACUUUCUUUGAUGUAGUAUCAUACCUUGCUUCGACAUUUUAAAUUUUAUGCAUAGAAAAUAAGACAAGUUUCCCAUAUUCGACAUUUAAAAUUCCCUCAUCAUCAGCUCGUUGAACUUCGACAAGUUCUUCACGCUAUUUCCAAUUACUAGGAAGUCAUCGACAUAUAAGCAGAUGAUUGUCAUAUCUUGUGCCACAACCUGAACAUAGAUCCCAUACUUAGAUUUGCAUUUGACAAAUCCCAAUUUGACUAAGUAUGAGUCGAUCUUCUUGUUCCAUACCAUAAGUGCCUGCUUGAGGCCAUAGAGCACUUUGUGCAACUUAUACACUUUCCUUGCUUCCUCCUAUAUCACAAACCUAGGAGGUUGUGUGACAUAGACUUCUUCGUCCAAGGGACCAUUCAAAAAUGUUGAUUUCAUAUCUAAGUGAAAUGUUGACCAUCCUUGAUUACAUGUCAAGGCGACUACUAGCCGAACAGUCUUCAAUCUUUCUAUUGGUGCGUAUACUUUGGAGUAGUCAACUCCUGCUCUCUAAAGAAAACCUCGAGCUACCAAUCUUUCCUUAUGUCUUGCUAUCCACCCAUCAGUAUUGUGCUUCGACUUGAACACCCAUUUCACUUUGAUAGUUUUUCUAUAUGCUGGAAAUUUGACUAACUCCCAUGUGUUAUUUAUUUCGAUUGCUUGUAACUUUUCAACCAUAGCUGACUUCCACUAUUUAUAGUUUAAGGCUUUGCUAUAGUUGAUUGGUUCAUCACUUGCAAGUAAAGCAAAAUGAACUAAUUCUCCAUCUAGUGUAACUUCAUCAUCAUAAGUCACUUUGUAGUCUUGAAGUCUUGUUGGAAGAACUCUAGUUCUUUGAGGUCUCUGGCUUGUGCUAGCCAUACCCUCUUUGAAUUCGACUGUGUCGGGAAUGUCAGCAAUUUCUUUGAAUGGAAUAUCGACAAUAUCUUCGACUUCGACAUUAUUACUUGCUACGUCGAAUUCAUAGCUCUUUAAUGGCUUGUCAAUUGCAUCACUAUAAUUCCAAUUCCAAACAAAAUUUUCAUCAAUCACAAUAUCUCGACUCAUCAUGAUCUUUUGAUUAAUUGGAUUGAACAACCUGUAUGCACCAGUUUUGUGAUAUCCUACCAGAAUCAUAGGUUCAUUUUGUCAUCAAGUUUCCUUCUUCUUGCAUCAGGAACGUGUUUGUAACAAAUAGAGUCAAACACCUUCAGAUGACUCACAGAUGGUCAUUUUCCACUUCACACUUCUCCAUGAACCUUGUUCUUCAUCUUCUUGAUAGGGCACCUGUUCAGAAUAUAAACAGCAGUGGAAACAGUUUCACCCCAUAAGGAUUUUGGAAAAUUCUUUUGCUUCAGCAUGCAUCUCGCCAUGUCCAAUAUGUUGAGGCGUGUAAGGAGCAGUUACCUCAUGAAUGACACCAUGUUCUGUAUAAAACUCUUCAAACAUCUUAGAUGUGUAUUCGCCACCUCCAUCUGUUCGCAGAACUUUGAUCUUCUUCUCACUCUGGUUUUCGACAAGCAUCUUGAAUCUCUUAAAGAUUUCGAAUACUUUGUCCUUUCACUUGAUCGCAUAAAUCCACAACUUUAGACUAAACUCAUCGACAAACGAAACAAAAUACAUGUUUCCACCAAUGGUAUGCUCCUUAAAAGGGCCACAUACAUAUGAAUGUACAACUUCAAGUAUGCAGGAAGAUCUCAUUGGCAUAGUCGAAAUGAAUGACGUUCUGGAUUGCUUUCCGACUAAGAAACCUUCUUAGAGUUUGUCGGACAUCUCAAGACUUGGUAUACCAAUUACCAUAUCUUUAGUAAUCAAUUAAUUAAGUGAUCGAAAGUUCAAAUGUAAAAACCUCAAAUGUUACAGCCAACUAUGCUUGUGGUUGACAACGACUUUUAGACAUUGUACUGUAGUCGAACUGAUCAUGGUCUUGAGUGUCCUAUUCUUCUACAAAUGAGAUUUUAAGACCAAAUCAUUAUGAAUGUCGAACAGUUCCAAGGCUCCAUCUUUCAUGUUCACUAAGAACACUUUUUCGACCAGUUGUCCAACACUUAGCAGAUUUCACUUUAUUCCAGGUACAUAGAAUACUUCUUUGAUCAUAGAUUUUCCUUCAUUUCUCCUUUGAAUAACUAUGUCGCUAGUACCUUCUGCUUGCAACGAGCUAUUAUCAGCAAGUUUGACCUUGCUCUUCUUCGACGAUUCAAAAUUUGCUAACCAUAUUUUUCGACCAUUCAUGUGAUUCGAGCAGCCCGAGUCGAGGAACCAGAUCUUGAAGUCAACAUGGUCAUCUGCAACUGCAACCAUAAUCACAGUAUCUUCAGAAUCAUCUUAAUCUUAGCGUGCAAGGUUUUUUUCUUCCUUCUUGCCUUUUGUCGCUCCCUUGUCUUUAUUGUAGCAAUAAUUCUUGGCCAAGUGACCCCAUUUUUCACAGUUAUAGCAUUAUACACUUUUUUUCUUUUUUUCUUUCUGAUAAGAGUUUCCUUCUCCUUUUUUCGAGGAUUCAUAAGCCUUAUCAUCGACCUUAUGCUUUUGAGGGUUCGACCAAGAAUUCUUGCUCUGAGUCUUGCCUCAUUUGCCUUUGAAUUUGUUGGAGUCACCAUGCUUCUUCCAUGCCUGAGCCUGCAAUGCUUGUAUCGAAUCCUAAACCAAUUUCCUUUCGACAGUCCUAAUCUCAUGCGCCUCCAACAAACCAACCAAAUCUUCCAGUUUCAUGGUUUCAAGAUUGUUGGAUUCUUGAAUAGCUACGAUAACUUGAUCAAAGUGAGAGGUCAACAUACGCAUUACCUUCUCAACUAUCAUCUUAUCCGUUAGGGUUUCACUACCAUCCUUCAUGAGAUGGACGAGAUAUUGUACGUUCGAUACAUAGCCUGCAAUCUUUUCAUCUUUUCCCAUCUGCAACAAGUCAUAUUGUCGUCGCAAAGUCCAUAAUUUUACGAUUUUAACUUUCUCACCUCCUUCAUAGUACUUGACAAGAAUAUCAUAUGCCUCCUUCGCCGAUUCAUCAUGAGAGAUCUUGUCGAAAUUCACUGAAUUUACCGUCGAUUGAAUGCAGUAUGCAGCCUUGCAAUAUUUCUUCUUCACCUCCUUGUUCACGAAUCUCUGAGCAUCGGUUGUAUUCUCAACAACCUCAACGACGCCAUUAGUAACCACUUCUAGGGUUUCAUGAAAGUUAAACAGAGAUUGCAUAUGUUUUCUCCAUCGGAUCCAAUUCAUACCGCCAAUAAUUGGAAGAGAAUUUUAAAUGCCAUUAGUAUCAUUCAUCUUUACCGCGAUAAUAUUCACAUAAAUUUAAUAAUAACAAAGAUACACAUGUAUCAAAUAUCAACCGAUGAAAAUUUAAGACAUUUUACAUUUAGAGACAUAUUAAGACACUUUGUCAUAUUAAUAGUUAACUUAUAAUAGCAUUUACUGGAAUAUUCACUUCAUCAACCGUCACAUAACGAGCCACAUAAACAGUUCACCUCAAGUAUCUAAUUAUGAUACUUAUGUCCAAUAUGAUGCAUGAAAACACAAAAUUAUGUAGACUUUGACUUCCACGUAUUUUUGUAUACUUUUCAAAACCACUUUGAUCCUUAACAUGAUAUAAAAUAAUAUGAUAUGGAUCACAUAUGUUUAUGGGACACUUAUUCCCGCACUCGAUAAUAUCUACUCAUGGAACACUUUGUGGGAAACUCAACAUGAGGUCCCUUAGGUUAAAUACCAAAAUACAAGAGUUUUCUGAUAACUCCUAACAAUCGAGGUGCUCCCUCAAUUCACCUAAUAAUCCUAUUUGCUUAUCUCUCGUGACCUAACAAGUAUAUUUCCACUAACCAGGUCAGAUAUAGUUGUGCCCUCUCUGUCAUUAGGUUCAUCACACUCUAUCUAUUAUUGUUGUUUAAAAACAUCGCUUGGAUGUAAAGAAAUGGGAGGAAAUGGAUUAUGAAUAAAAUGGAGGAUGGAGGUAGAGUAUGAGUAAGUGUAAAGCAAACCUCGGUAGGGAGCUCUUAAAGUUUAUAUUUAUACUCUUCCUCUUAUCUUAUACAAAUCCAAUCUUAUUAAAAAAAAAGAGAAAUGUUAGGAUAACACAAAAAUUUACAACAACAUUGUAUGUAUAUCGGUGAGUUGUACUUUGUUUUUUUUAACAAUUCUUGUCUUGUCUUGGGUUUUGUGUCAUGAUUAAAAUGUUUUGAAAAUGUUACCGUGUAGAUACGGUGUAGUGGUUAUUCGGUGUCAACAUAGCACACCUUUAAAAAAAAUUAAAGAAAAAUAAUCCAAAGAAUAAAAAAUAUUAUUUUUCCGUGCAAUGAACACAUGUUUGACAUCCAAGGUUGGAAAUGAAUCGAGUCGAGUUGAAUUCACAUUAACUCAGUUUGACUCGUUAAAAUUUGGUUCAGUUUAAAUCUCUACUUGAAUUUGACACAAACUUUUUUUAAACUCAAAUUCGACUCGUUAUAAGUUCACGAACAAAUAGAUUUAAUUCGUUAGAUUCAGCUCACUUGCUUCACGGAUUUAAAAUCCAUUUUUUAAGUCUAUUUUUUUAUAUAUAUUUGAUAUUUGAAAUUAAUAUUUUUUUUUUAAAAAAAAAUAUUGAAAUAAAAUAAAAGUUAAUAGAUUGAAAUUUAACUUUGUCUCAAAAAUUUACUAAUUCAAAAACUACACAUCUUUCAAGAAAUACAUUUGAAAAUCUAAUUCAAAAACUACGCAAUUGGAGUUUAAAUUUGUUUCAAACAAAAUUAAUGAAAUCGUACACCAAAAUUUACUAUAAAUUGAUACGAAAUGGACAAUAUAGGGUUAAUAUUUGGAGUGGAUCUUUAAAAUCACUCUUAAAGACAAUAUAAUCUUUCUCAUAUAUAAUUGAGUUGACUCAAGAACCUAACGAGACGAACUAUGUAUAGUUCAAGAUCAUCUCAUUUAGUUAACGAACUUAAUUUUCCAUUCAUAUUUAGCUCAUUUGGUUCAUGAACCUAGACCAACGAUUUAAUUUUCAACCCAAUUUCCAAAGUAUUUUCAAUUUAGUUCAGUUCAUUAUAAGUGAACCACGUACUUUUUACUUUUAUACAAGUGCCUUAAUCAUUUGUAAGUGCCAUUUUAUUAACGUUAUUGUGCUUAGUUAUUCUCCUCUUGUACUAAGAGUAAUUGUCCAAAUGUCACAGCAACCUAGAUCGUUGAAUUAUGUUGUAAAUAAUUUAACUUGAUUGUUGUUACAAAACCUCAUGUCACUUCAUUAAUUUAAUCUUAUUAUUUACUUUAAAACAUAAAUGACAUAAAGUAUAAAGUGCGGGGAAGGUAAAUGAGUUAUUUCUCCAGACGCCUCACCUCUUUAAAUAGGGAGAGUCGUGGAUCCUAAUUCAUUGGUGCGUACUUUCACAACAUCCUCAUUUCUUUCAGCGCCCUUACAGUCACCCAUCCUUCUUGAGUACUCCUCAUUUCACAAUUCAUCUUGGAUUGUAGUUACUGGAGAGCUUAGGAAUGUUUCUCCCUCUGAGUUUUUCCCACUAAAAGGCAACACAAGAGUUAGACCUCUAGUGGGGUGGACAAACUGGUAGGAGACAUGGCAAGGAGCAACUGAUAAUAAUCAUUAAAGUUCUCCGAGAGGGGGAGGUGGAGAUCAAAGAACUACACCGCGUCAAAGGUAGGUUUUUCUACAAAUAAGGCCUGAUGGGGGCAAAUCUGUCACAUGUUUUCUUUCCUCCUCUAUCUAGAAACUUCUUGGUGGUCAAUGAGAACCCUUUUCCCAUCAGGGAAUCUUGGGGGCGGGCCUCACCAGCCCAAGAUAUCUCGUACUGCCUUUUCCCUUCGUCAACAGUCGUAUCUUGGGGGAGGGGCAAGGACAAGCCAGCUCGCUGCUGUGUAACAUGCAUCAUAAUCAAACAUUGUCUCCUCUUGCCAAGCAAGAUAUUAGUCAUGCCAUCUGCAAAAGAAAAGAGGGCUCGUAUUAAAACGAAAAACAAUCUAUUGACAAUCAGGAUAUGAAGUUCCUAUCAUACCAUAAAACUUUCCCAAAUACUCCUCCACUUCAUUGCCAUCCUCGUGAUCCUGGGUAGUUAAAGUACAUGAGUUCAAGGGUCGGAAACCGCCCAAGAUCUGGACCAUUUAUUUCUCAAUGAAAGAAAGGAUACUUGCAUUUAACCCAUUGAUAAGUUGGGGAUCGUACGUCCACAACAAAGGAAAGUGAGGGGCACUCGUCGCUCCGGUCGUCAUCAGGGAGGCGUCGCCUCACCCCCUCACCCACAAGAACAUAUCUUUUCAAUCCUCGUGAGGAAUCACAUAAGGUUAUAGCAUACGUCUAUCUGGAAGAUCACACAGAGUUAUCCACACAUAGUUAGGGAUAACCUUUACAUUGUAAAAAGAGAGGACUACCAAAAAAAGUGGGAGGGCCCCCCAAUUUAAUGUAGAUUAUAUAAAAAAUCCCUUAGCAUGCCUCAUAUGUUAGGGGUAAUUUGGGCAGGGGCGGUGUUAAUUAUCAUAAAAAAAAUCAGCUUCGAAGAUAGUAAAGAGGAUCAAAACCCCUAACUCAUGUAUAACAGGCACGUAAGAAUAGAAGUAGGGAACAGAGGCCUCGUCGACGGUGACCAUGUUGGCUCUCUCUGUUCCUGAACAAGGUUCAAGAACCAUGUGUCAUACCCUAAAUUUUGUCCACGUGUCUUCUAUUUUAUUUUUAGAAUAUCAAAGAGAAUUAAAAUUGUGAGUUAGCUCAGUCGGUAGUGGGGCAGAGACUUGACGCGUAAGGUUGCGGGUUUGAAUCAUAUUGCAUCUCUUUUUAUUUGUUAUUUUUACUAAAAGUAAAUAAAAUUCCAAUGUUGACCUUUUCUAGUUUAUUUAUAUUUAUUAUCGUUUUUUUUAUUUAGGUAACUUUUUAAUAUUAUUUUUUUAUUUUAGUUAUUUUUAAACCAUAAAUAAAAAAUCCCAAAAAUAUUAUAUUUAAUUAUUAUGUUUUAAUUAUAUUUAUCACUAAUUAUGGUUUUUCAUUUCUGAUUACAUCCUAAUUUUAAUUUGUAAGUAUAAAUAAGAAAUGCUUAGAGAAGCAUAACGGAGGCGCAGAGCUAACCGUAGCACAAAUUUGUUUUGACAUUUUUUCAUCUUACCACCAUCUUCACCACACUUGAUUGGUUCAUCAAUCGCAUUCAUACAAAAGUCUUCUACAUCUUCCUUACAUCAUCACCAUUAUAAUAAACAAGUUUUCCUUCAUCAUCAACCAUUAUCACAAAUAUUUCCUCCUUCAUGCACCAAACACAACAGAGUCACCAUUGAAUUUAUUUAUUCUAAGAGAAAGGGAAAAUAUCAAUAAAACCCAAAGGUAAUAGAAAAGGACAAGGAAGUCGGUUAUGUAAGGGGAAGAUAUUAACAUUUCUCGCAUUCGUUGUACUCAACGGGAAUCGUUUUGGUUGUUCUUUGCCAAGAUGGAUGUUAUUAUCUAAAGGUUACUUUCAAUUGGUUUUAAUUAAGGGAAAACUAAGUUUUUAAUUAAUGUGCUUGCCAAGAUUUCCAAAUCUUGUGUCUACGUAUUCCCAUAGUGCAAUGAGAAAAUCAGAGCUUCGUAGUUCGUGGAAUAUAACAUGAGUAUUUGUUGGUUGAUUUUAGGGAACAAUCACUACGCCAAAUAAGGGAAAAGAGGGCGCUUUUUUUGGCCUAUAACAGCGCUUUAAAGCGUCCUCUAAUCUGGCGCUGGCAUAGGUAAAGACAGCGUUUUUUUUCCUGGUGAAAACGCUCUCUAAAGUGGCUCUUUAAGCCCUUUAAGGGCCACUUUAGAGGGCGCUUUUUAAAGAAAGCGCCCUCUAAGUGGAAACUUUAAGGGUUUUAGAGGGCGCUUUUACUGGAAAGCGCCUCUAAAGUGGAACUUUUUAAGGGUUUUAGAUGGCGCUUUUACUGGAAAGCCGCCUCUAAAGUGGAAAUUUAAAGGUUUAGAGGGCGCUUAUUUUGGAAAGCCGCCCUCUAAAGUGGGUGGGUUAUUUAAAUUUUUUUUUUUAAAAAGCGCUAUAUUUUUUAUUUAUUUUAGACAACCUGUAUAUUGAAGCAGUAAACACUAAAACUGUAUAAUUUGAAGCCCUUUUUUCACACAUUGCAUUCAACAAGCCUUAUAUACAACAAUCCAUACAUAUACAACAAUCCACUGAUAUAUAAUCGUUUAACUUCUAAAGAUUCUAAUAUACAACUAAUUCAUAACUUAAAAAAGAAAUAAAACUAAGUAGCAAAAGCAUCUCUGAGAUGUAUGUUUUUUUUUGCUAGCCGCAGUCUUCUUAGCAACAACCUCUUUUUGUUCAAUAUCAUAGCAUGAACCUAAUAUCAUAAAAUUAGUUAGUGAAGUAUAAGAUCAAGAAUUAAACAUUUUUAUGCAUAAUAUAGCAUAUAAUUGUGUUUAUACCUUUUUUUUUAUGCAACUGAUCGAUUUGCUGUAAUAAAAGCCAUUUUACCUGUAAUAAAGAAAACAAUUAAAAUCAUUUGACCUGUACUUUUUCACUAAGUUCUCUUUCUUUUCUUUGUUGUUGGAUAUGUUCUACAUGUCUCUUAACAACACAGACGGUUGGAUUGAUCCAAAACCCUAAUUAUGAUCAUUUCUAAUAUAUGAAUCAUUUGAUAUAAUAUUCUCAUCUUGAUCAUUUCUGGUAAACGAUUCAAUCUCAAUAUCAAUAUCACCUUGAUCUCCAGUGUUUUUUUCAUCAUUUACUUUGUUGGAAAAAAGAACUAUAGACCAUUUCGUACUUUUCGGAUCAUUGACAUAGAACACUUGUCUAGCUUGAGAGGCUAGAAAUAAAAGACUCAUCUUUGUAUCCCACCCUAUUAAGAUCCACUUGCAAAAAUCCUGACUUAUAGGAAUCUGAAACUUCUCAUAAUCAAACACCCAAAUGCGCUCGAUAACACCAAAAUACGACAGAUUUGCAAUUUUGGGUUUAAGUCCUUCACACUUGAAUAUGUGCAUUGCUUCAGCUACCACGGUGACACCACUAUUCUGCAUAGUACUUUUAUCAUCUUGUUCUUUGUAUAAAAUGUGUAUCCAUUAAUAGCGUAUGCGCUAUAAGAAAAACAUGGAAACUUGGACCAUAUGCUAAGCAUCUCAACCUUUCUGUUAUUGAGCGGGAUUCUGAAUAAUACUUUGAAUAAAUAUGAUCCUAAACCAAGGUAUAAAAACUCGAUGUGCUCUCGUACUAUCAAUUUUCAUUUCUAUUGGAUUUAAACCUCGGAGAACAUCCUUGUGAAUUUCAACAUACGGCUCAACCUCAUUCUCAUUGUGCAGAACAUACAAAUGCACUUGAUCCCGUUCGACCUUGAUACUGCCACGAUUUUAUUCAAUUAGAUUUUUUCCUUCUUUCUUUUCGACAAGCUGAGACUUGGGGGAGUCCGAUUGAUUGAACAUUAGACAAAUAUUCAGUACAAACUCAUCGCUUCUUCAACAAUGUAUCUUUCAACCAUACAACCUUCUGGUCGACUUGUUCUUCACGUACCCUUUUAAUUUUCAUAUAACGUUCAACAGGGUACAUCCAUCUCAUAUAAGCUGGUCCCACCAAUUGUGUCCUCUUCACAAGAUGAACAACUAGAUGUACCAUUAUGUCAAAAAAUAUGGAGGAAAAAACAUUUCAAGCUCACACAAGUAAUAACGAUUUCUUUUUGCAACAUUGGUAAGAUCGAGGAUCGAUCACUUACUGCAAAUUGACUUGAAGAAAGAACACAACUUAGUUAUAGAGCUUCUUACUUUUUCUGAAGAAUAGAACGUAUACCUAUUGGGAGAAAAUGUUCCAUUAUAACAUGGCAAUCAUGGUCUUUAAAUCUUUAACUUGAGGUCUUCAUAGACACAAGUCUUCUAAUAUCUGAACAGUACCCUUCUGGAACUUUAACUUCACUUAGAAACUUACACAAUGUUUUUUUCUCCUUUCUAGAUAGAGUAUAAGCAGCAGGCGGUAGAUAUGUUCGUUUUCCUUUCUUCAAGGGUCCUAAUUCAGUUCUUAUUCCCUCGCUAUCAAGUCCUUUCUUGCCUUAAGGCCAUCCUUAGACUUCCUUGUAUAUUGAGUAACGUGCCAAUAACACUUUCAAAUACAUUUUUUUUCAAAUAUGCAUAACAUCAAGAAAGUCUCACAUACAAGGACUUCCAUACGACAAUUCAAAAAAAACUGACCUCUUCUUCACCCACUUUUGACAAGUGUAUGGGCAAAAGGCUUGCCAAACUGAGUAUCCAAAUCUUUCACCUUUUCAAAAAUUUGAUCACCCGUCAAUAUAGGUGGAGCUCUGCCUUGUUCUGUCUCUCCAUUGAACGCCUUUCUCCAUCCAGGGUAGUGAUGAUUGAAUUUAAAGAUCUCCGAAGACCGAGAAGACAUUCUUCUGACCAAACUCCAAGCGCUUCCAAUCUGUUUUAUCUUCACAAUAGGACACGCACAUUGACGCUUUUAUGUUAUACCCUGAUAGAUUUCCGUAUGCUGGAAAAUCAUUAAUUGUGCAACAACAUCUCCCUCGAGUUGAAACUUCUUUCCUAUAUCCAUCAUAAACCUCCACACCGGUCUCCCACAAAAAUCUUUAAAUCUUCGAUUAAGGGCUUCAAGUACACGUCUAGUCAUUCCUGGUGUGUUUGGUCCAGAAAUCAACAUAGACAACAUCAUGUACUUACGCUUCAUACAUAGCCAUGGAGGUAGGUUAUAAAUCAUAAUAAUCACAGGCCAUGUACUGUGUGAGAUACUCUGGAUACGUGUGGGUUCAUUCCAUCAGUAAGAUAAUGCCAAGCGAAGGUUUAUUGAUUCUUCUCCAAUUCAGAUAAUCAUUAUCAAUUUUCAACCACUGUGGUGAAUCUGCCGGAUGUCGAUACUUGCCAUCUAUAUUCUUUCAUCUGCAUGCCAGGUCAAGUGUCUUGAAUCGGUUUCACUAGAAAACAUGCGUCUAAAUCUCGGAAUAACAGGAAAAACCACAAGACUUUUGCUAGAGACAACUUGUUCUUAUAUCGCGAGACACCGCAUUUAGGACACUCAUUUAACGAUGCAUACUCAUUUCGAAACAAAACGCAAUCGUUUGGACAUGCAUGUAUCUUAUCAUAGCUCAUGCCAAUAGAGCACACACAUCUUUUUGGUCUCAUAUUGUUCGAUUGGGAAGAACAUUAUCCUCAGGAAGCAUAUUUUCAAAAGGGCUAAUAACUCUGUGAAACUUUUAUCCGACCAUCCAUUGCCCGCCUUUAAGUUGUACAACUUUAAUACCGCAGACAAUCUUGUGAAUUUAGUGCAACCAUCAUACAAAGGUUUCUCUGCAUCACUUACCAACCUCUCAAACAUUCCGGGACAAUCCUUAAGAUCUCCUUCAAGUGCUUCUGCAAUCUCUUCAACUCGAUCACAAUCGUAUGUAUCUGCGCACUAUAGUUUGAGGCAUAGUCUACUAUCCCCCGAUUCAACAUUCUCGUUACUUUUCUACCAUGCAAAUUCCAACAUGUAUAACUUCGAUCAAUUCCAUGCCUCAUUAGAUGCGAUGUCAACUGAACUGCGUCAACCCGUUUCCCAUAACAACAACCCAAGCAAGGACAUAUCAUUCUACUGGGGUCUCGGCGUGCGCAACGGUAAACUUAACGAAUUCUGAUACCCAUUCUCGUACUCUCUCGCAAUCGAUUGGAAGACAUCCAUGUAUUAUCCAUUACUAAUUAGAAUAAACACAAAAACAAUUUCAAAGAGAAACAAAAAAUGGGAUGAGACAAAAACAAUUUCGUUAUUGAGUUAGUCUCUGUGCAGGGCAUUCAUGUCUCCAACAACAACCCAAAACCAAAACAAUUUGGUUUAUUGAGUUAGUUCUCAACAUUUUCAGAUAUCUCCGACUUCAAAUAGCAUGAGAAUGUAUGAACCAUGCAUUAAGCAUUAGUGGUAUGCACUAAUUUGUAGCAUAGUUAUAUAUCAUCAUAUAGUUUUUACAAAAGAUAAACAUUGACUAGAAAAUAUAUAUGUAAAUGUAUAAUGGUCUAACUGAAAGCUAACAGAAGAAUAGUCGACUCUAAUUUACUCUAUCAAAUAACAUCCAUACCUAAACUUCUUAAGUUACUAGCUACGCUAUGUAUGCUAGAAUAAAUACACUCAUAAGCUGCAUAGUGUACCUUUGAUUGGUAGAAGGUGUUUUAGAUAUUCCUGCCUCCUUUUUCUACAUCGAGAACCAAAUGGAACAGUUGGUGAAAUUUAACCCAUAAUGCGUAGUCUCCAUUGCUAGCAUUGCAACACCAGGCUCCACUGUGGCCUAAAUGAACCAAAAAUUAGCAACUUCUACAAAUUACAACAGAAUAUUAUUAGUAUAAAUUUUCAUUAUCUAUAUAUAUCAAGAAUCUUUCCUUAAUAAUAUGUUUUUUUGUGAUUGUAGCAAGUUUAUUUUAUAAGCAACUGUGUGGUUGAACUAAACUCAAUGCAGCUCCAGCAGCAUGGUUACAAGAUGCUUCAGCUAUUUGGUUUUUGUAAGUAAGUUUAGAUCUAGGCAUAACCCAGACCCUGUCACACCAUAAAAUUUUAUGAUAACAGGAACUUGAAAUUACAUCUAGGCAUAACCCAGACCCUGUCACACCAUAAAAUUUUAUGUAAUUUCAAGUUCCUGUUAUCAUAAAAUUUGGAAAACGAAUAAAUAAUUGUGUAACCCUAAAUUUUUAAAACACUACAUAACAUAAGUUAUAUGGAUACCGUAACUACUUCACACUCUUCAACAACAUCAGACCUUUCCUCAUCAACACUCUCUCUGAUAUAAAAAGCAAAAGCAAUAUGACUAUGUGAUUAGAAGAAUUAUUUGAAGGGCUAAGUUUAAAAAAAAGUGCAUAGUAUAAGUUAUAUGGAUACCGUAACCACUUCACACUCUUCAACAACAUAAAACUUUGGCUCAUCAACACUCUCUUUGAUCUAAACAACANNNNNNNNNNNNNNNNNNNNNNNNNNNNNNNNNNNNNNNNNNNNNNNNNNNNNNNNNNNNNNNNNNNNNNNNNNNNNNNNNNNNNNNNNNNNNNNNNNNNNNNNNNNNNNNNNNNNNNNNNNNNNNNNNNNNNNNNNNNNNNNNNNNNNNNNNNNNNNNNNNNNNNNNNNNNNNNNNNNNNNNNNNNNNNNNNNNNNNNNNNNNNNNNNNNNNNNNNNNNNNNNNNNNNNNNNNNNNNNNNNNNNNNNNNNNNNNNNNNNNNNNNNNNNNNNNNNNNNNNNNNNNNNNNNNNNNNNNNNNNNNNNNNNNNNNNNNNNNNNNNNNNNNNNNNNNNNNNNNNNNNNNNNNNNNNNNNNNNNNNNNNNNNNNNNNNNNNNNNNNNNNNNNNNNNNNNNNNNNNNNNNNNNNNNNNNNNNNNNNNNNNNNNNNNNNNNNNNNNNNNNNNNNNNNNNNNNNNNNNNNNNNNNNNNNNNNNNNNNNNNNNNNNNNNNNNNNNNNNNNNNNNNNNNNNNNNNNNNNNNNNNNNNNNNNNNNNNNNNNNNNNNNNNNNNNNNNNNNNNNNNNNNNNNNNNNNNNNNNNNNNNNNNNNNNNNNNNNNNNNNNNNNNNNNNNNNNNNNNNNNNNNNNNNNNNNNNNNNNNNNNNNNNNNNNNNNNNNNNNNNNNNNNNNNNNNNNNNNNNNNNNNNNNNNNNNNNNNNNNNNNNNNNNNNNNNNNNNNNNNNNNNNNNNNNNNNNNNNNNNNNNNNNNNNNNNNNNNNNNNNNNNNNNNNNNNNNNNNNNNNNNNNNNNNNNNNNNNNNNNAAACGUCGUAGAUCUAACAGAGGUGGAAGGAGAACGCCUUAGAAGUAGCGAAAAUCGUAGCAGUGAGAACCCUAACGUGAAAAAGAACGAAAAUAACAGAGAGUGAAAUAACAAAACGCGCAGUAUGUUAUAAUCUUAAUGUUUACUAAAGGGGACCUUAGAGGGCGCUUGUGGAAAAAAAGCGCCCUCUAAAGGGGGCCUAAGAGGGCGCUUAUGAAAGCGCUCUCUAAGGCUUUCCAAAAGCGCUUUAUAAACUGGAAAUGCACUUGGACUUAUAGAGCGCUUUUUUAAAAGCGCCCUCUAAGGGUAACCUUAGAGGGCGCUUUCUAAAAAGCGCCCUGUAUUGUUGUCCCUCUAUCUCCUCCUUAUUUUUUCGCUUCACCUUAGAGGGCUCUUUAUUACAAAAGCGCCCUCUAAAGUGCGCUGUCUAUUCCAGUUGUUCGCUCCUUAUUUUUUCGCUUCACUUUAGAGUGCUUUGUAAUAAAGCGCCCUCUAAGGUGGGCUGUCUAUUCCAGUUUUUGGCGUAGUGAAUGUUAUAAUCGUAUCCUAGCAGUGUUUUGACAUUAUCUGUUUGAUCCUGGUUCAGACUCUAGAUGUUAGUAUGACUACUAAGGAAUGGAUUAUAAUUGUUCUUUUAUGAAAAGAAAUUAUUGUGGUGUCUGAACCAAGGACAAAGAAUUAUAAAGGUGGUGUCUGAACCAAGGACAAAGAAUUAUAAAUAUGGUGUCUGGACUAAGGACAAAAUUUGUAUUGGAGGUGUCUUAACCAAGAACAAGAAAUUUAAAGUGGUGUCUUAACCAAGAAAAAUAAAUUUAAAGUGGUGUCUUAACCAAGAACAAGAAAUUGAAAGCGGUGUCUUAACCAAGAACAGGAAAUUGAAAGUGGUGUCUAAACCAAGAACAUGAAAUUGAAAGUGGUGUCUAAACCAAGAACAGGAAAUUGAAAGUGAUGUCUUAGCCAAGAACAAGAAAUUGAAAGUGGAGUCUAAACCAAGAACAGGAAAUUGAAAGUGGUGUAUGGACAAAGAGAUAGGUGUUUUAACCAAGAGAUAGUGAUUAACCCAAAGAGAGGUGCUUUAACCAAGAGACGGUGACUAACCCAAAUAGAGGUGUUUUAACCAAAGGGAGUAUGAUUAAGAAAUGUUUUUGAUAUUGGUUGUGAUUGAUUUUAGUUUGAAGAUGAAUAUUCAUACAUGGAACUCUGCAGUAAUGUCUGAAUCAUUCGGGGGGAAAGAGUUUUCACCCUCCUCUUUUUACUUCCUUUUAUUAUGAAAAUGGUAUGCACUUGAAUUGUACUAAAGUCUAUGAAUAGAGGUGAAUACUUUGAACAACUGGGUCAUGUGUCCCGUAUCCAAAGAUAUUCAAAAUAAGGAUAGGAAUGCUCCAUCUUAUUCCUUCUUCAUUUCUUAAGGCUUAAGGCGCAUAAUUUGCAUCGUAGUUGUCAAGUGUUUUGAGUUUAUUUAAGAAAAAAGAAAUUUUAGUUUUAAAUGGUAAAAGAGAGAGAUAUAUGAUUGAAAGAAUGAGAUAUGAUGCCAAAGAAUGGGAAUAAAGUUUAAUUCGGUCAUGUCUUGGUGGUUACCUAUUUAUAGGGCUUUAAAGAUGAAUAGAAUUGUGAUUGACCCAAGGGAACAUGUGUCGUACAAGCCCUAAUGCCUCUAAUUCAAAUUAAGUGAUGACGGGACUUUUGAUCACCUAAUUGAAUAAGGUCCUAAGGGAGCAUGCAAUUUGUUUAAAGGAGCAACUAAAUAAUCCUAAAGUCAUUAAUUCAAUUAAUUGACCAAAAUAAUUUCAAUCAAUUAAUUGAACCAAGACACAUGGGGAUCAUGAAAAAAACUAGGUCAGGCUUAUUAAGAAGAAUCAAGCGAGCAUUGUGAAUUAAAGAUCAUGAAAAAUAAAAAAUCAAGAUUAAUGAUAUUAACCCUAAUUUCAUAAUGUACUCUAAUCUAAUCAUGUGUAGAAAUUAACGCUAAGUUAGGAUACAAAUCCUAAAUUUAAUACUAACCUAAUGAUGAUUAAAACAAAAUUGAUGUAGUAAAAAACUAAAAUAAAUUGUCAAAAAAUUUAAAUAAAUAAAUAAAGGUACACUCUGCCAAGGGGUAUAAAAUUGUGAGAGGGUGUGACUAGUCAAUGGGCGCAGGGCCCAUGACUUGAAGGCCCACGCAUUUUUUAUUUAUUUGAUUCAGAAAUUUGGGGUGAGAAAGGAGAAAUGGGUGUGUGUUGGAGUAAAAGGUUUAUUGGGCUUGGAUGAAGCCUAGGAAGAAGUUCAUCAUGAGGGAAAAGGCGUGAAUCUCUCUCAUACUCAUACCAGACCUCUUCUCUCCCCUCUCUCGCACCUCACUGGAAAUCACUUCAUCGUGCCGAAAAUAUCCUCCGGCGGUGGCAGAGCCCAGAACAUGGCUAAAAUACCACCAACAAACUCAUAUCACUGUCCUCUUUCCAUCUUUAACCUAUAUCAUCUCUAAAAAUUACCCUAAACUUUUUAUCCAACUAAAACACAUAAGAACCCUAUAAACUUCAAAGAGAAAUUAAAUGAUGCGCAUCCAUGGACUCAAAGCAAAACUUUGGGGAUUUUACUCAUCUACACAAGUUCUAUAGUGUGGUAACAAGCCUGGAGCAAGCAAGUGAAUAAUCAAGUAAAUGGAUACUUACCAACAGGGAGGAGAUUGCCCCUGGUAAUUGCUGAAAAGCGCGUUGAAGACGAAGAUGAAAUAAAGUAGAAACCUAUAGACUUUUGAUUCCAAGGUAAGAGUAUUCUUCCUAAUUUCACACUUCACUAUCAUUCUGCUUCUUCCCUCUUCCUUGACUUUUCUUGAGUUUCUGGUUGCUACGUUGUUACUGUAGAGUAGGAUGGUGUUGAGAUUAGGAUGAUUACUUUAUGAGGUUAGGUUGAAUUUGCAGUGAUGAUGAAGAUAGAUAAUUGAGUUAAGGUGUAUGAUGUAGGGGCCAAGAUCUAUUGCACAUAGCUCCAAAGGUUUAAGCUUUAUCAAGGUGGAGAUAAAGAUCUUUAGAGUGAGUUAUGGGGAGUUUGGGAUCUUGCUUUGAACUUUUGCAGCUCACAGCGCCACCAUUUAAGCAAAAUACAUAACCAAAUUGUGAUCUAAAAUCGUCAUUAUCUUUUUGGAAGCCGGCAUCGGUGUAUCCAAUUACAAUGAGCUCUUCCUCGCCUCCAUAUAUCAAGAAUGAGUCCUUAGUCCUUCUAAAGUACUAAAGGAUAUUAUUGACAGCAACCCAAUGAGCAUCACUUUGAUCAGAUUGGUACCUACUCGUUGCACUUAAAGAAUACGAGACAUCUGGUCGAGUACAUAAGAUGGCAUACAUGAUAUAUCCUAUUGCAAAUGCAUAUUGAAUCUUAUUCAUGCGAUCAUUUUCUUCCUUAGUUAAAGGGGAUUAUGUUUUUGAUAGACACAAGCCAUGUUGCAUAGGUAUGAAUCCUUUCUUGGAAUCAUGCAUAUUAAAGCGUCUCUGCACUUUGUCUAUGCAUGUACUCUGACUUAGGCCAAGCAGUUUUUGUGAUCUAUCUCUAUAGAUCCUAAUUCCUAGUAUAUAGGCUACUUCAUCCAGGUCCUUCAUAGAAAAGUAUUUCCCUAACUAAGUUUUUACUUGUUGCAAGGUAGGGACAUCGUUUCCAAUGAGUAAUAUGUCAUCUACAUAUAAUAUCAGGAAGAUGAUCAUGCUCUCACUAACAUUCUUAUAGACACAAGGUCCAUCUUCAUUUUUGAUGAAUCCAUAUUGUUUUACCAUUUCAUCAAAUUUAAGAUUCUAGCUUUUGGAAGCUUGCUUCAAUUCAGAGAUUGAUCGAUGUAACUUGUAUAUCUUUUAGGCUUCUUCUGGUAUGUCAAAUCCUUCAUAUUGUGUCAUGUACACAUCCUCAAGAAAAUUCCCAUUAAGGAAAGCAGUCUUGACAUCCAUCUUCCAUAUUUCAUAAUCACGAUAUGUAGCGAUAACAAGUAAAAUUCGAAUAGAUUUAAGUAUUGCAACUAGUGAAAAGGUUUCAUCAUAGUCUAUACCAUGAAUCUGCUUAUAUCCCUUAGCAACCAGUCUUGCCUUAUAGGUAUGUACCUUACCAUCCAUGUCAGUCUUCUUUUUAAAGACCCAUUUGCACCCUAUAAGAUUAACUCCUACAAGAGGCUCUACCAAGGUCCAACCCUGGUUUGUGUACAAGGAAUCCAUUUCAGAUUUCAUGGCUUCUAUCCAUUUCUCAGACUCGGGACUAGUGAUAGUCUCUUGGUAGGUCACAGGCUCAUCUUGAUCCAUGAGUAGUAUAUCACCUUGAUCGGUUACGAGAUAACCAUAUCUCUUAAGUUGGUGACGUAUCAUGUUUGACCUACACUAGUCUUAUUCUACUUGAUCAAGUUUCUCUUCCACUACUACUUGUGUUUCCUGCUCCGGUUCCUCCAUAGGUGUAUUAAUGCUUUAUGAUUCUUGAACUUCUUUAAGCUCUACUUUCCUCCCACUGAUUCCUCUGGAAAUAAAGUCCCUUUCCAUGAAUACUCCAGUUCAAGUGACAAACACUUUUCUCUCAGAAGAAUUGUAGAAGUAAUACCCUUUUGUUUCUUUAGGAUACCCCACAAAUAAAUAUUUGUCAGAUCUGGGCUCAAGCUUAAUUGAAAUUUGUCGUUUCACAUAAACUUCACAAUCCAAAAUCUGCAUGUAAGACAUAUGUGGUUUCUUACCACUCCAUAUCUCAUAUGGCGUCUUCUCAACCUUUUUGGAUGGAACACGAUUAAGUGUGUAAGCUUCUAUCAAUAGAGCAUGUCCCCAAAGGGAGUUUGGAAGAUCAGAAUAACUCAUCAUGGAUCUGAUCAUGUCUAACUAGGUUUUAUUUCUUCUUUAAGAUAUACCACUCCAUUAUGGUGUUCCAGGAGGAGUGUGUUGGGAUAGAAUCCCAUGCUCUUUUAGAUGGUCAUCAAACUUUAUGCUUAAAUAUUCACCGCCUCGAUUUGAUCGAGGAGUUUUAAUAUUCUUACUUAGUUGGUUUUGUACUUCAUUCUUGAAUUCCUUGAACUUUUCAAAGGAUUCAGAUUUGUGUUUCAUUAAAUACACAUAACCAUAUCUGCUAAAAUCAUCAGUAAAUGUGAUGAAUUAUUGAAAACCUCAUUUGGAUGGUAUGUUCAAUGGUCCACAUACAUCAGUAUGUAUAAGGGACAAAAGAUCAUUAUCCCUUUCACCUUUUUUCUGUGAAUGGGAACUUUGUCAUCUUUCCAAUUAAAUAAGAUAUGCAUGUAUCAUAUGAUUCGUAAUCAAAAGAGUCAAAGAGUCCAUCUUUAUGGAGUUUAGGAAUGCGAUUAUCAUUUAUAUGGCCUAAGCGACAAUGCUAAAGAUAACUUGGAUUUAACUAAUUAGGUUUCAUCCUUUUAGUAUUAAUGUUAUAAAUUGACAUUUCAAGAUCAAGGACAUACAGUUCAUUGUUCAUUUGUGUAGUGGCAUAUAAUACAUCAUUCAAGUAAAUAUAGCAACAAUUAUCCUUUAUUAUGAAUGAAAAACCAAACUUAUCUAAACAAGAAACAGAAAUAAUAUCCCUGCUAAUUGUAGAUACAUAAUAACAGUUCUCUAACUGAAUUAUUAAACCAGUAGGUAAAGUUAAUACAUAAGUUCUUACGGCUAAAGCAAUAAUCUUUGCUCCAUUGUCAACUCGUAGAUCAACUUCACUUUUUGACAAUUCUCUACUCCUUUUUAGCCCCUGCACAUUAGUACAAAUGUGAGAAGCACAUCCAGUAUCUAAUACCCCUGAGGCAGGAGUAGAUAAAUUUAUUUUUAUAACAAAAAUUCCUGAAGUUGAAGUACCUAAUUCGUUCUUCUUAUCUUCCAGGUACUUUGGACAAUUUCUCUUCCAGUGCCCAGUCUUACCGCAAUAGAAACAAGUGUCCACCUUUGUUAUACCUCCACUAGGCUUCAAAGAAUGAGCAGUAGGUUUGGGUCUAGCAACUUCCUUGACUUUCCCUUUACCACCCUGCUUGGUGGGCCUUUUGUUUUACUUCUUUCCAUUAUUGACCAUCAGAAUGGACUUCUCUUUUUACUUCAAAUUCUACUCAGUAUUUUUUAAUAUGCCUAACAGCUCUAGAAGACUUUUGACCAUAUCAUUCAUGUUGAAAUUAAGGACAAAUUGACUGAAUCUCUUCGGCAACGAUUGCAGGAUCAAAUCAGUCGUAAGCUCUUAUUUUAGGGGAAAAUCCAACCUUUCAAGUUUCUCCACAUACCCAAUCAUCUUGAGUACAUGGUGACCUACUAGGGCUCCCUCAUCUAGAUUUCCAUAAAAAGGAUUUUUAAAACUUCAAAUCUCUCAUAUUUUUCAUGCUCUUGAUAGAGCACUUCAGGUGUUUGAUCGUAUCGAACGUUGCCAUGUUUUCAUGUUGCUUUUACAAUUCAUAAUUCAUGGUAGCCAACAUGAGGCAAGCAGUUUCAUUGCCAUCAUCGACAUGCUUCUUAUAAGCAUCUCUUUCAGCCUUAGGAGCAGAACUAUGAGGCUCCUCUUCAGAAACAAGUGUCUCUAAGACAUACAGUUUUUUUAUCAUGUUUGAGGACAAUCCUCAGCUUUCGGUGUCAAUCCAGAAAAUUUGUCCCAGACAAUUUUUCCUUAUCAAUGGUUGAUCAUAAAAUAUUGAUAGAGGUGUUUGUUGUCAUGGUAAUCUACAUAAAAAAAUGAAAAUAUAAGUAUCAUUAAAAUCAACAUAUUCAAUUAGGCCUUUAAUUAAAUAUGCUCCCACUAUUUUACUCAAAUCAAAUAACCCCCACCAUUUGAUUCAGAAAAUCCUGUUGAAAAUUUUUUUAGUGGAUUGAGAUUCAUAUUUCACUUUGUUUUAAGUCAGCGUUAAGAUGAUUACACAAAAUUAGGUUAUUUAGGUACGAACUUCUUCCAAUUGUAUCUAAUACAAUUCUCGAAUACUAUCAGUUAGGUGAAUAACUCUUUAUUUUAAUUCAUCAUAUGGAUUGCUUCCAACUCUUGCUUCUAAACGUAUAUAAUCUUAUUAUAAUUUGUUUAGUUAAGCUUGACCCAAUAUUUUAGCAAAUGAAUAUUACAUUUAUCUCAUCGCACCUUAAUAAUAUAAAACAUGCACAUCGCGUUAGGCAAAACCUACAUUAUUUGAUACUAAUAUUGAUGAGUGUUAUAAUUUAGAAUGCUUAAACUUAAUAUUUGGUUUAAGGGAAUUGUGAUUAGUUUGAUCAUACCGACUUAUUCAUCAUAUAAAUCGUCUCUCACAUGCAUCAACGUAAAUUCACAUGCAUUAACAUACAUAAACAAAAUAAAACAGCUAUGGCCCCUAGUGGAAUGCUUAAACUUAAUAUUUGAUUUGAGGGAAUUUUGAUUACUUUGAUCUUACUGGCUUAUUUAUCAUAUAAAUCGUCUCUCACAUGCAUCAACAUACAUUCACAUGCAUCAACAUACAUUCACAUGCAUUAACAUACAUAAAUAAAAUGAAACUGUUAUGUCCCCUAGCGCAAUUUUCCUCUCAAGCCGAUGAGAGAACCUAAGCUAAACACAAUAACGACAUACACGCUUCUCCAAGCUAGAUCUCCAUGGUUGUCCUCUUUUGAUAUUGCAUUCUUCUCUUUCUUCAUAACAUUAUAUUACAUAAAAGAAUACUCAUUUUACAUACGAGAGAGUGAGAUGAGAAGAUAAAUUACAUAGGAAGUGUAUAGAGAAAGACACGACACGCAAGUCGUAUUUAAAAUUCUCAAAAAUAAAUAAAUAGAUAAAAAGGACUAAAGUCAUAAUCGGCCGAAAAAGAGAAAAAGUGAGAGAAAAAGAGAAAUUAUGGUCAGGGUUCACCGGCCGAAUUUCAUCAACUAAGAAAGCUUAUACACAAGGGUUGUAUUUAUAGAAUCAGUUGUAUGGGUUGAAGCUAAAAAGUCCAAUUUAAGUGCACCAUAUAAUAAUAAUAAUAAUAAUAAUAAAUAAUGAAUAACUAUUAUUAUAAUAAACAUAUUUUUUUAUUAUUAUAUUUUUAUAAAUAUUAUUAUUAUUAUUAUUAUUAUUAUUAUUAUUAUUAUUAUUAUUAUUAUAUUAAUUAUUAUUAUUAUAUUAUACGAUGUUCCAUAUUUCACUUAAGUACACCUUACCUUGUGGUGUUCCAUAAUUUUCUCAAUUACACUGUACCUUACAAUGUUCCUUAUUUAUUCUAUUUCUCAUCAAUAUGUCCUUAUGUGUAUGACCUUGUAGAUUCUCGUGACGUUGACAAUUAUAUUAAAUUAUAUAUUUAAUAUAGUAAAUUAUGAACGGUAUCUAGCAACACAUCACCGCUACCCAAGUCACGAAAAUGUCAUGUGAUUUGACAACCUUUUCGUGAUAAUAUUAGUGUAUACAAUUACUAUUUUGCCCUCAUGUCUAUAUUGAGCACAAGGCUUUGACUGUGUCACUCUUGUCUAGUUCAAUAUUGGAUCCUUAGACAUUUGUCCUGUUACGCAGAAUGGGAAAAUUUCAUCUAGGUCACUGAUGCCCCUUAACAUACUUUAUAAAGUAUCCAUCAAAUGUCUUUAUGGUCAUCCAGUUAUGGACAAUGUUUAAUCAACAAUAAAGUACCCGACUCCACAUCUAGGGUCCAUAGGAUUUUAGGUCGAAGGGUGGUAUACACCACUAUCACCAUGAGAAUAACUUAUGACACUUUGCAUAGCUUUUUAUGUAGUAUUCUCAUAGUGGGUCAAUCCAAUAUAAAUAUUACUCAUAAUAUCCAUAUACCUAUGUGAAGACUUGAUAACUCUUUAUUUAUGACCCAUGAGAUGUGAUCAUCAUUCUAUCCACAUAAUAGUCUCAAUGUUUUAAUGUUAUCCAACUUCAAAAUAAAGCUCGACUAUGAAUAAUUUAAGAAUAAUAUCUUUAUGUUUAAUAGGAUCUCAUGAUUAAGUCACACUUAUCAUUUUAUUAAAUGGGCUAGCUAUUUUAAAGACUUUAUCAUUUUGAAAAAACAUAAUAAAAAAUAUCUUCUUAAUUAUUAAUAAAUAAAUCGAUACAAGUAUCAAAACUAUUGGCUCUAGGACUUACAUAAAAAAUGUCCAUAUUGUAUCUACAUUCCCCUAUUAAGGAAAAAGAUUGGUUCCUCCUAUUCUUACAUUCUAAUCAAGCAGUUGAAUAUUUGAAUUAGUUCUCCGCUCACAACUUGUCUCAUGGAUCACAUCUAUAAAUAUCCCAACCCCUAGGAUUAGAGGGGAUGUUCACUUUUUACCUAAUUAGAAUCCUAAAGCCCUCGUGCACUCUCUAACACAAUCAAGAUUCACAUUUACGACAAGUACAUUUCUUUUUCAAAUAAGUUCUUAAUUAAUAUCACUAGUAAUGUAUUUAGAUAAAACAUUUUAGUGAGAUAAUGUGAUAUUUUGAGAGAAUUUAAAAUGAUUUGUACAAAAUUUUAUUUGGAUAAAAAAAUAUAAAAAUUUGUUAAAAUGAUGAAAAUCUAUUAAGUAUUUUGCCCAAAUUAAAUUUAAUAAUCUUGAAAUGACACUUAAAAUCAAAAAAAAAAUCUCUCAUACUCUAAAGAAUUUGAAUAACAAAUUGGUUAAUAUUAUUAUUUUUAAUUUUGCAAAUUGAUCCCCAUAUUUUUCAAAAAAUUUCGACUCCUAAAAUUUCCUAAAAAAUUGCAAAUUGGUCUAGAAUAAUUUUCAAAUUGGUCUCUUUAAAUUUUAAAAUUUACAAAUUAGUCAUUUUUAAAAUUUAAAUGUUGACCUAAACAUUUUAAAAUUUUAAUGUUGACCUAAACAUUUUAAAAUUUAUAAAAACUUACUCCAAAAAUCUAACAAUAAUUUAUCCUAAUAUUCUAUCCAAACAAAAUAAUUUAAAAUAAUUUAAAUUACUUAAAAUUUUAAAUUCCUUAAAACAUUCUAAAUGUUUUAGAAUAUAAAAAGUCAAAAUUAUGCACUUCUAUUUACAGAGUAUUUCACUAUCGGAAAAAAUUCAACGAAUACUAGUAUUUAAGAACAUCCGAAAUAUAAAAUACAUAUAUCAACUACACUAUUAAUUUUUAAUAAAAGUAAAAUUAACAAUAUAAUUAUAUAAUUAAGGAAGAAUGUAAUUUUUUUUAUAUUUAAUUCUUAAGAAAAUGAGUAUCUUUAUAUAUUCGAGAUAGUUCUGAUUUCUGUAUGUAGUCCAACUCCCACCGAGUAGUAUUUAUAUUUGCCUUUGACACUAGCAUUCUACUACAGUAUUGAUUACUUGAGUUUGACUUGUAUAGUAGAGUAUUGUGCAAAUCAAGAGAGCUCUGCCUGCCAUAGCUUCCCAGAUUAAAUUUCAACAUAAAUCUCUGCCAAAAUUAAAUGCUUCCUCACUUCCAAUGUUUUCUGUGUACUUAAUACUAUGAACUAGAACCAUUAUAACCUUAUAACUAUACCAUAUAUCUUCAUUUCCUUGAUCACACUCUUCACCAUAUUUUGUAAAGAGACGGCCCUACAACACUUCUACAAAGACAACAAGAUCAUGGAGGCCAAGAAGCAGAGAAUGGCAAUCCAAAUCCAAGCACUCUCACUGAUUAUGCUACUGAUGGCUUCACCUGCUAUGACUUGUCCACCCCUAGAUGGCAGAGGAUGCAAAGACUGCAUUUUUUACCAGAUGAAAACAAGUUGUCCAUCAUGCACACCAAUCCUUCACUGCAUGGCUCGUUGCUUAUGGGAUGGCGGAUUAAAGUACGCAUGUAUCAACAAAUGUAACUGCAAUACUUGCUACCCAAAUCUCUAUGAUUGCAAGAAAUGCAUGUUAAAAUGUAAGUGUAACUGCGGCAACUAGCCCUCUUAGAAAUCACAGUACUUUCUAUUACCCUAGUUACUUGGUUUGGUUCCAAAAUAAUACUACUCUUCACUAUUAUAAGUAAAUGUUUUCUUUUCACAUACAUUGAAUACUUAAUGUCUCUUAUCUACAUCUAGAUCAGAUACAUAAGUUAUUCAAUGAACUUGAAAAUUGAAAAUAGAACUUUUGCUUAUAAUAGUGAUCUGAGACGACCUUAGGAUGUAUGGUAAGCUAUAAACUCAUGCUAUGUAUCAAAGUAGAUAAGCAAAUCCAAAACAGUUGAUGGAUCUUGUACUUGUUUUGAAUUUAUCAUAUAAUUUGAAAAUCAAAUAAGGUUAUCUAAUUUAACUAAUUCAUACCAACACCAAUUUCAUUGUCUUGUAUAUGCUUACGCUAUAACAAGCUCAUCAAGUACAAAGAUUCUUAGAUAGGUAACUAGGUACAUUACAUAACUACUUACAGUUAAGAGAUACUAAUAUUAAUAGCAUACAAAAUAUAAAACAUAGUUAUAAAUUGCAGUUUAGACAUUUUGUCAAACAGUAAGUAUGCAGGUUUAUAUACUAAAUUGGGAAUCAGGGUUCAUGAAGAAACCUUUGUAAGCACCGAAAUCCAAGAUUUUGAGCACAAAACUUCUCCAUAUCAUCACCACCUUUCUCUCUACAAAUACUUUCUUCCAUUUGUUCAAUAACUUGAUCCCAAUUGUUCAACGACCACCAAUCGCAUUCAUCAACUUUUGCUUCCGAAACAGAGUCGAGUAUCUCUUGUAAACCCACGAUCCGACGGGUGACUUUUCUCCUGGCUUCUCUCACGGCUGGAUCGAUUCCGGGAACGGAAUCGAGCUUGAGAAGUAGAUUCAUGAGUGCUUCGUUCAUUUUUAGUUUUUCCAAGUGGUUGUUGCGGAUUAAGUCUACCGUGUCUUGAAGCUGGAUUAGGCGUUGGAGGUGGUCGGCUUCAGAGUCGACGGUGGAGAUUUUGCGAUAGAGGGUGCGGAUGCGGUGGGAUCGGUAGGUGGAUUGGAUGGUGAGGGCGGCGUUGGAUUGGGAUUGGGGAGGGAGUUGAGUGGAAUUUGGGUUUUGGGGAGAGGUAGUAUGGUCAUUGUGGUAGAAGAAGUUGGGGUUGGAAUUGGAAGAGGAUUUCAUUUCAUGGGGAAAAGGGAUGAUUUUGGAGUCAGAGAUUGCAGAGAAUGGCAGCUGAAAACUCAGUUUUGAGAUAGUGGAGUUUGGUGGAAAAUAGGAAAGGACUUUUGUUUUGUGGUUUUGGGAUUUUUACUUGAAUGGGGUUGGCGGUAAGGUUUUGUUCUUGUGGGGUGAGAUGAUACAAUUCAUUUUUAACAACAACAAAAGAAAUUAAAAUAGUGUCACUUUAACUUUUCAGCCUAAAAUUAGGACCACCGGUUAAUUGUAAGUUGUCUUACAAAACAAAAUUACAAGUAUGAAAUUUCUACUAAAUCAACUCAGUUAAUAGUUCUGUAAUUAUAUCAUUUUUGCUGUUAUGUAAUGACAUGCAAACAGUAUAUUUUAGUAGUACAUGAUUUGCAAGUCACAAAUCGAUUGGUGUCUAUUGUUGCGCAUACACACUUACGACUUACUAAUACAGUAGAGCUGAUAUGUCACAAAAAUCACUACAUAUGAAAUGUGCACAUGCAGCCAAAUACGAGUAUCUUUCUAGAAAUCAAUACUAGGUCACAUAUUAUUGAUAGUAGAUGUAAACAAUGGGUUGGGAUUAGACUCAAAAUCUACCAUCCAUCCAAACUCAACUGCUGCGGGUUGCUUUUGGACACAACCCGCCCCGAUAUCAAACCCUAAAGAGAAUAACGUUUUGGUUAAAGAGGUGUCUGAAAAUAGAAGCUGAUUGCAUGAGUAAAAUGUCAAGUGAGGGUGUUGAGACUCGUUAGAUUCCGGUUCAUAUUUUAAGAUGAUGAUAACCUCAAAUGAAAGUAAUGAUAUAUUAAACAUGUUUUGUCUUUAUUGUGUCUCUCUUUUUGUUUGCUUUACUUUUUUGGUUGCAUUUUGUAAUUAUUACUCUUCACACUAACGAUUAUUUAAACUACUCUUUUUAGAAGAUGAAUGUUAGACUGGUUUUAAGAAUAUGUAUGAUUGUAGUAUUUGUUAUUUUAAAUCCAAUGUUUAUAUCCUUUGAAGUGUAACAUUAUGAAUCAUGUUUUUGCUACUCCCUUUGAGUUUAAUUUAAAUUGGUUGUUAUAGGAGUAGUUUCAUUUACAAAUCCGUUUGUUUUGGUUCUCUAUUUUUUAAUACUUUCGUUGAUCGAGUGAAUAAGUGAUUGCAUAACAAAUUUCUAACUAGAAAUAACUAAUCUAGCAACAAAAAAAUGUCCCAGAGAAUGUUAUAAUCAUUAUUUCAUCUCAAUUUUUGAUUCAUGCUGAACAAAUGGAUAGCACACUAAAGAACAUAACAAUCCUCUCAUAAAAGCCAGUUUUAUUCAAGUCUCUUUCCGAAGUCAAGUAAUAAGAGAAAAUUACAGUAGAAAAAGAACUAAGGAGAAAGGAUUCCUGAUUCUACAGCUUCAACAACCUCCACCAUACCACACCACUGGAAAAUACUGCCCUCAAGGAGCUGAUGGAACAAUCUUGCCGGAGCAUGUACCAAACCCGAUAGUGUAACCAUCUCCCUGAAAAGCAAGAAUGUUAGACCUUUUCAUAUAAAAGUUCUUCAAGUUCUAGUGUUCCACAACUAAUAAAAAUGUCAUAUGACUUUAGCUAUUUGAAGAAAAUAUAACUACACUUUAGAAAGGAAAAGAAGGCAUUGAAGACUUUAAUUUGAUUGUAACCUUGGAAUAUCCAGUUAAGGUGACUUCAUCUCCAUCUUCAAGAAAUUUUCUAUCUAACCCAUUCAAAGACAGCGGAUUUUGUCCAUUCCAUGUUAACUCUAGUAAGCAUCCCCGAGACUCUAGCUCCUACAGUGAAAAACAAGCAUUAUCAUAUAACUAAAACUCAUCAACCAGAUUGAUAGGUAACAAUUCAUGAAAGAAAGAAAAUGUCUUGGGAAGUUAGACACCAUAAAAUAUUGAAUCUUACGGGGCCACUAAUUGUCCCAGUUCCAAGAAUGUCGCCUGGCCUUAGGUUGCAACCAUUGAUUGUGUGGUGAGCAAGUUGUUGAGUCAAUGUCCAAUAUCUAUAAAACAACAGGGCUAGAAUAAGUGGAUGCAUAAUUUUUAUGUAUAACAGUUUCAAAGGGUACAUGACCGAUAAAAAAAGCAACAGGGCAGGUAAGGAUUAAAUCAAUAUUAUUUGAAGAUAGAGUCCUUACAAAUGCUUGAGGUUACUUCGCGUAACAACACUUGAAUCUUUGUGACCAGCAGGUUUAAUGUGGACCUUGCACCAAAAUAGAAGUUUUAUGAUUAACUUAAGAAAUCGGAAAGUUGGCUGUUGUCUACAAAGAUUAUGAAGAGAUAUUAUAUUGUCACUGACAUAUGCAAAAGAAGGAAGAUUCUUUGAAAUACCUCUAGCGAAAGAUCAUAGUUUUUGGAUACUUUUUCGGCCAAGUAAGGAAGUGGAGGAGGAUCCUGCAUUUUAUGGAUCGGCGUGUUUAUUAUAAACUUCAUACAUGAGCAGCCUAAUUAUAAAGUUUCUAAAAUGUCAAACUCGAAUGUAAAAAACCUAUUACCUGUUUCGGGGCUUCACAAGCAAAAGGUUCCAAUGCGUCCAAGGUCACAACCCAAGGUGAUAUCGAUGUGGCUAUAUAAUUUUUGGCACACACCAUAAAACAAGAUUAACACUAUAAGAGCAUUGAUAAUUAAGGAGAAAACCUCCAUCCAAAUGCUCAGUUUUUUUUCUUAAAGGACUCAAACAUCUGAAGUAAUUAAUUGAAACUUCUUACCGAAACUUUUUCCAAGAAAAGGACCAAGAGGGACAUAUUCCCAUGCCUGAAUAUCUCGAGCUGCCAAAUUUAAUUCAGUGAAGCAUCAACUAUAGAUAGCAUUAACAUCAAAAAUAGAUAUUAUAUUGAGUUGAACAAUUACCACUCCAGUCAUUCAGUAGAACAAGUCCAAAGAUAUGAUCUUCAGCAUUGUUUAUAUCUACAGGUUUUCCUAGUUCGUUUCCAGGUCCGACAAUAGUAGCCUGUAAGAAAAUUAAGAUUGUAUUCAUAAUAAAACAAAUGAAAACCGGUAAAUUACCAUAACAACUCAUUUAGAACAACUAAAACAAAGAAGUAAAUGACAGAAUAUAUAACCUUGAUUUUCAUAGUUUUAAAUAAAACAUGGCAUGCACGUUAUAGUGAGAAAUGUGGCAUUAGAAAAUCUAUGUAGAAAAAAACUAACCAUUUCCAACUCAAAGUCAAGCUUCAAUGUAGGGCCAAAGUACGGUGAAGGGUUUCCGGCAGGAUGAGCUUGACCCCUGAACAAACACACAAAGUAGACAAAUAUUGUGACAUACAUAAGCUCAGUUGUUUAGUUCACACAUAUUAAGAAAAAAUUACAUAUGAUAGAGACAAGCAUGCAUUUCAAAACUUCCCAUGUUAAAGAAACAAAACAUUAAUAGAAUAUAUCUUCAUAAAUCGUUAACCUCCAAAAGACAUACUGGUAUAAUUUAAUAUCCCCUAAAGAGUGUGAACUAAUGACAAGAAAACAUUUCAAUUAGAAAAAAACUUCUGACCUCGGUCGAAUGAUAUCUGUUCCGGAAACAACAACAGAAGAUGCCCGUCCAUGAUAAGCAACAGGUAAGUGAUACCUGCGAACCAAAUUUCUCUCAUUUUUCAGUACAAGAAAAAAAACUUACACUUGUUUGACUUGAGAAGCCAUAAAAUUCAACACACCAAUUCUCUAAAACAGGAUUCUCUGGACCGCGAAAUAUGAUUCCACAAUUUUUAGUGUGAUGCAGAGACGUAAAGAAGUCCGAAUAGUCCCCAAUUGCAACAGGGAGAAGCAAUUCUACUUGGCUCUGGAAACACACACAUCAAAAUUGUUAUAACAAGUUACAAACACAAUACAACAAUACGAAAAUGUCAACUACAAUCUGUAAUACCAAAGGCACAAGUGAUUUCUGCCUCAGAACUUCAUUGUCCCUCAAAGUUGGCUCAGUUGCUGCAUUCAAAAGCAAAAUCAAUUCAAUAAACAUAAAAAAAAAAUAUAAAAAAAAAACAGCCAUUGCAGCUCAUACAAAAUCAAAGUAUUUAACAUGCAUGAACAAACAUGCUUUGUACCACGACACCUUUGAAAAAGGUGUAGUGUCAGUGUCAACCAACACUAUUGAUUAUUUUUAAUUUAUUCAUUUCAAAUUAAUAUUGGUGUCGACGCUUGAGUGUAAUGUCAUAAAGUCAUGAUCACAAUAUCAUAAUGUUGAAGAAUUUAUACAUGAUAAGAGUUUUUGAAGAGUGGCACGAGCUUCCUUCCAUGCUGGUCUUCCGAGUGAUACAAACUUAUUUAGAUUAGGCUGUUAAAUUAAAAAGAUAACAAAAACAGCAUCAUAAAACUAUAUAUUAAAAAAAUAAAAAAUAUAAUCUAAUGUUGCAAAUUACUAAAAAGGACAUAAUUGCACAAGAGUGUUCAUCAUCCUAACAAUAAGGUUCUCAUUUUUCACUUCCUUCCGGUUUCCAAGCGAAAACAAAAAGAGUGCGUAAUAAAGUAGGAAUGUAAAAAUUAAAAUAAAAUAAAAUAACACUAAAAUUUAGGUAAAAUAAAAGAAAGUUUGAAGUAACGCAGAUUUUGAAGCAGGAAAAUUAGAAAGUGUAGUAGUGAUGAAGAGAGAGUUGAGGAACCUGGAGGAAGCAAUCGGAGUUAGUUAGAAGAGUGCCGUUGAAAAGACCGGCGGAAGAGAUCUCGGAGAGGUCGAGAACGAAAUCGCCGAUGGCUACGCCGGGACGAGGGGAAGAAUCUGGUUGGGGCUUGAAGAUUCCGUAAGGGAGAUUCUGAAUGGGGAAGUGAGAAUCUGGGUGGACUUGGAUGAAGGAUUGAAGAAGAGUCAUGGUGUUGACGGUUGCGUCGUGGUUGAGAUGAAGUCAAGGAUGGUAAGAUGAAAGAGACAAUAAACAGAGUGUUCUGUAUAAAAUGAAUUGCUAGAGCUCUAGAGAGAGAGUACUACUAAUAAGUUGUGAAAUUAGAAUUCACGGCAUUCUACUCAUUUAUUAUUAUAAAAUUUCAGCUAUUAAACCAACAAAAAGAUAUUUUUAAAAUAAAUUUCUCAAAGUGUGGUUUAUUUUAUUUUUGAUUUGGAUUUAUGGCGUGGUUCUUGGGAGGGAUAGAGAAGAUUGUUACCGGUAGAUACGUAGAUAGAGGGGGUAGGCAGCCACCUACCCUUUUAGAGUGAGUUAGUGACACGCUCGUCUUUUACUCACAAUUUUUCUAUUUAUCAUACAAAAUUGAGUAUUUUACAGGCAAGUCAUUUUAUUUCAGCACAUUUAAAUAAUUAUUUAAUGAUUUAAAAUUUCGAGAUUUCUAAUAUACUCUAUAGUCUAAAGUUAAAAAAGUCUACUUAGAGGUGAGUGCAAACGGCAUGUCCACCGUAUUUAAUUUUACCCCACAAAACGGGUAGGGAUAGAUCAGAUAUAGUCAAAGGUACGAGGAAAAAAUCUAUCCCCACUGCAAAAUAAUGAGAGCAGACAAGCGGGUCCGCUGGCCGGUCAAUCUUUUAAAUUUAAAAAUAUAAAAUAUUUAUGUUAAUGAAGUGCUCGCAAAAUAGUGGAGCGUGUAGAUUUAAAUAUUUGAUUCAAGCCUCGUUAAAGCGUAAGUAAAAUUGGUCGAACCAAUUUUAUCAUCCUAACUUUGCUCAACUUUAUAUAAUAGAAAAAUAAAAAUUUCUCAUUAUUUUAUAUUCAAUAAUUUUAUUGUAUUUAAAUGUAUUAUUAUGACUAUCUAUCAUAAAAGGUUAAAUAUUGUAAAUUCAAAUUAUUUAAUUUUAUCAUAUUUAUUAUUUAUUUAAUUAUUUAUAAUUUGAAUAAUUUUCAAUGCACUUUAGUUUAUAUUUUAUUAUUUUGAAUAAAUCAAGCAGUCAAAUAAGAUCGAUUAGCUCAAUCUAAUUAUUUGUCCACUCAAGUUGAUAAAAAGGUGCGCACUCACAUGAAAGCUCAGCACUGGAGUGAGCUACCAAACUAUCUCAAACGUUGGAUCCAUACAAUGAUUCUUUGCAUGAGGCAUCGUAUUCAUCGGAGAUGGUUCUAACCUUCGUUAUUAUAUAUUUGAUGGAUGCAUUUGAUCAAGAGAAAACAAGAAAUUGGAGGUUACUUGCAAAAGGGGCAAGAUUUGGUUUUGUAAAUUUUUCUAAGUUAUGAAAAAAUACAUGUUCAAGUACCUAACUUUCCAAGGCCAUAACUUGUGAUCCAAGCCACCGUUUUCUUUCCUCCAAUGAUCAGAUUAAAGGUCUUACUUCAUACUUUAACUUUUUCCUUGAUGAUUGAUUCCCAAAAAAUGCAAGGAAUCAAUCAGAUUGGAUCACUUGAAACAACGCCUGCCUGUCAAAGCUCUCAACUGGCUCUUAUCAGAAGCCCAAAUACAUCUGGAAUUCAAAUUUGUUAGGGAGAAUAGUUUCAUUGUAUUUUAAUGUAGCCUUUUCCCAUAUUACCAUAUUUCUAACUUUGUAAAUAUCCAUGGGAUCACGCCAUUUGCGGAUCACCAUUCUAUCAAUAAAAUUCGAGACUUAUCCAUUUAUUGGCAAUCCUUAUUUUCUUUCUGCUCCGCAAAAAUAUCAUUUUUACUUUGAUAACGAUUCUUGAAACGAAUAUUUGAAAAAAAUUGUUUUUUCAAAAUAAAAUUAUGUUUUCUUUUGAUUUGUGAAUGCAAAAAAAGAACGUCCACAGUUAAAUCCCCAAGCGGCGAGUAAGUUGUGAAGUGUUGGAUGUUGGAACUCAAUGUUCCCCAGCAGAGUGCUAAGCCUGGAUUUUUUAUCAAGCUUUAAAAUAAACAAUCAAGCUUUUUCAGCGAUCUUCAUUAUCCCUGGUGGAAGCUGCAAAUUUUGAUGAUGUCCCCGGAAGAAUCAUUUUGAAGGUUUUCCUGACCAAUCUACACCCGUCCUUGAGAAAUUGGAACCCUGCAAAAAAAUCUUUGCUCCAUCAAAGGUUCACAUUUCAUCCCCAGACGAAGCAUCUUCCUCUCCCCAGAGAGAAUUGGACCUCGUGACGAGACUUUUCUCCUUUGAUGAUCUUUAACUCAUCUCCAAUGAUGUUUUCCGCCUUAAUGAGACUAGACAAGCUUAUGUUGAGCUAUGAAACAUAUUAUGUCCCCAUCGUGUCUGUUUUGUCUGUUUUAAUCAGGAUAAACAUAAUGUGCAUACAUGCAUAUACACAUACAUGCAUAUAUAUCAUGAAUAACCAAACUCACAUCCAUUUUGCAUUCCUUGAUGACAUUUACCUCAAUUUCUUUGACUAUGUUCAUCCUUGGGUGUUAUGUUUCCUACCUCAUAGGAGUCGUCAACCUUAAGCAGAGAGUUUAUAUCCUUUCUAAUUCCCCACUGAGUUCAUUCCUCAUGGAAGAUGGUUGCUUUAGUUGUCCUUUUCCAUCUUUGGAUAAGAUAAAAUCCCAAUUGAUCUUCAUUCCCCAUUGGUAGAGUCUUGCUUGAUUAUUUUCUCUCCAGUUGUUCCUGGAGUGAGCCAAAUAUUUGAAAAUUAAUGGUGAAUCUCUCUAGGAUGUUAAACCUAGAUUGAGAGUGAAUUUAUUUUGCAUUAUCUCCCUAGGAAAAGCAUCUUAAUUAUCGCCAGUGAAGACAUAUCAUUUUCCCCAGUAUGCACGCAAGAGGUUAUCUCUUUUGAGAAACUUGUCUAUCUCGAAGGAAUUAUCAACAUAGAAGUUUUCUUCCAUCAGAUGGUUUUCUCUCCAGAUAAGUUUGAUGAAGACUUCCAACAGGUAGUUGUCUCUUUAUUUGAGAAGCCUAUUUCAUGAUCUCUGAUCCCCAGUAAGGUGUUGUCUUUUCAUGAGAAGCUUAUUCUAUUUCUGGACGCCCAUUUUGGACAACAUAUAGCAAUCUUUUUUUGAGAAGUUUGUUUAUCCCCAAUGAAGUUAUCAACAUAUCAAACGUUCUUUCCAACAAAUGGCCAUCUCCAAAGAAAAAUUCGUCAGAGAAGUUUGUUGAAGACUACUACAAGCACCUUUCUUUUAUCACAGGACUUUAUAUCCCCAUUGAGGUGUUCCGUUACAAGAACUUAUAUCAUCAGUGAGGUGUUAAUCACAACCACUGGUACUUUCCCCAUUAAAUCACGGUGGAAUUCUAUUGAAGAUCUUUACUGUGAUUUUCUCUUUAUUUGAGAAUUCCUGUUUUUUAUAAGAUUAAUUGACCCGCAUCCUUCGAAGAUCCCCGGUGAAGUUACUUAUCUUUCCCCAACAAAUGGUCACCUUUUUAGGAGCUUAUUCAUUGAUCCUUUCCGAGGGAAAGACUUGGUUAAAGAAGAAACCAAUGCUCGUUCGCUCACUUAUGACCCGAAUCGUGGAUAGGUUUAUUUUGCCUUUUCUAAGUGGAAUACUUAAGUAAAGAAGAAGUUGAAUCAUGUUUUGAUCAUGUAAGCUUAUUUGGACUCGUUAUUUGAACAGGCGGUCAUCUCUACCUUUGAGAAACCUGUUGCAAAAACCAGAACUCGUUAUUUGAACAGGCGGUCAUCUUUACCUUUGAGAAACUUGUUGCGAAGAUAUUUCCUCAAUGAAGCGAACUUUUAUUUGGACUCGUUAUUUGAACAGGCGGUCAUCUUUACCUUUGAGAAACCUAUUGUAUCGAAUAUACUUCUAACAAGACGAUUACCUUUGUUUAGGCUACCACAUGGUUGGUAAUAGGUAAUAUACCUCCCUCCUUGAGCUACCCUAUUGUUUAAGUUGCCCUGUGAUUGGUAGUUGGUAGUCUCAUUCCCCAGUAGGGUUGAUAAUCUCAUCCCCUUGGAGUCAUCACCCUUUCCUCAGUUGAAGUCAUAAUCCUUUGGAAUGAUCUAUUCCCCAUGAAGCCCUAAUCCAUUGGAAUUUACAAAUCUUCUUCCUCAACAGAAGUUGUAAUAUUUUCCUCAGUGGAAUUUCCUUUUGUCUGUCCCCACAGUGGUGUUACUCUAUCUCUGUGUGUUUUCUCAACUAAUAUUACUCCCCUGUGAUAUUGUUCCUCAUAGAAUUCCUGAGUAUUACAUGCAUAUUGUAACACCCUUCUAAAAUACCUCAAAUAUUUAAUCAGAAUAACAACAUAUAUCAAUCAGAGUAAUUAUGCAGUCAAGGGUGUCACACAUUCACUUCACACCAUUCACCAAUAUAACGGUCAUGCUCUUUUAUUAAUUCAAAACAUAAGCAUUUGCAUAAUACGCAGCGGAUAGAGAUCAAAUCGAUCAUUCAAGACAUGCAACAUACUACAUGUAAACUGGUUCAACAAUCAUCAACAACACAAUUAAAAUGUUCCCUCCCGAUGUUACAUCUAUCAGAGCACGACCCACUAAGGAGACUACAUUAGACUCCAAGCAUUAGCUUCUACUCGACUCAUUGCUCGUUACCUGAAAAAUAGUUGUAAGGGUGAGUUCCUCAAUCGAUAUAAUAAGCAUUAUAAAAUCUCAUGUAAUGUUAAGUAAAUAACACAUUAAUCACCCUAAUCGUAUCACACAUUCGGGGUCUGGCGGCUGGGGGGUGGGGGUGGGGGGCUGGGUGGGGGGGGGUGGGGGGGGGUGGGGGGGGGUGGGGGUUUUUUGGGGGACGGUGGGGUUGCUGAUGAGAGAGAUGAAGAUUUCUCAGAGUCGUCAGAAGAGUUAUCAUGAUAACAGGAGAAAGGCACUUGAGUUCCAAGAGGAGAUCAUGUUUCUUGAGAGUUACUCGACGACAGGUGUGGUAGAGCUUAAAGUCUAAAAAGCUUACUCGAGGUUUGUGGGUCCGUAUCAGAUUUUGAAGAGGGUUGGGAAGGUGGCGUAUCGGUAGCUUUACCGCGUCGCUUUCUAAUCUGAUGAUGUGUUUCACGUAUCUCAGUUGAGAAAAUAUAUUCGGGACCUUCGCAUGUUGUUCAGUUGGAUUGAUGUCCAGGUGAGGAUAAUUUGACCGUUGAGUUGCCAAUUCGGCAUAGAUGACCGAGAAGAGAAGACCUGAAGGUAAGAAGAUUGCUCUAGUGAAAGUUGUUUGGGAGGUCCAGCUGGGUAGAGCUUGACUUGGGAGCGUGAAGAUCAGAUGAAGGAGUCGUAUCCGGCUCUAUUGCUUGAGGUAUGUUUUCGAGGACGAAAACUCUUUUAGUGGGGAGAGUUGUAAACACCCGAUUAAAAUAAGAGAAUUAUUUAAUUGAGUUAAUAUUAUUUUAUUAAUUUAUUAAAUAAAAUUGAAUUAUUGGGAAUUAUUAUUAUUAUAUUAUAUUAUUAAUGUUAUUGAUUUAAUAAUAAUUAAUAAUAAAAUAAAUGGAAUAUGAAGAGUGGAAGGGUAAAAGUAGAAAUUGGAUAAAAGGCCAAAGUGAGAACUCAAGUUGUUUUCACGUGUUUUGCCUCAGAGUCAGAGAAAGAGGGAGAAACGCUGAAGAGAAAGAGAAGGAAGAGGGAAAAGGCCAAAGAUUGCUCAGAGCUUCCUUCAAUCCAAAGAGGUAAGGGGUCUGAACCUUAUUAAACGAUAAUAUGCGAGCAAUUUCAUGAUAUCUGUUGGAUUAUUGAUGGAUUUUGGGGAUUUUAGGGAGAUUGGGAAAGUUGGGGUUUUGAUGGGAAAUUCUUCGAUCUGUGAGUUUUGUUGAGUUAUAUGCACUGUAAUCGAAGUAUGUUGUGUAUAUAUGACUGUUAAAUGUUGAUAUUGGGUUGGUAGCUGUGGGGUAUGAGUUAUAGCGAGUAGAGAAGCAAAGCUGCGCUGGUUUCCAUAGCAGAUGGCUUCUGUUCGCGCGCGAUUCGCGGCGCGAAGCCUAGUUCGCGGCGCGAACUGGGCAGGAUCAGAGGAGUUCUGUAACGCAUCGUUCGCGGCGCGAACCCUGCUGCGCGGCGCGUCCUGAAGCGAAUUAAAUUGUUCGCGACGCGAUCCUUCGUUCGCGGCGCGUCCUGGAAUAAAUGGAGGAGUUCGCGGCGCGUCCCUAUGUUGGCGGCGCGAACUGGGGAAAUGCAGAAGCUAAUGUUGGUGAGUUUUUGAGUAUUGAGAUUCGAGCCUCUUAAAGUCGCUGUAAUUGUAUUAUAAACAAUUACUAGUGAUUUAUGAUUGUGUAUGAGGGUUUUAUGAUGAUGAGAUGUUGAAUUUACGUGUUUAGUUAUAAAUGUGUUAUGUAAGAAUGUGAUUGUUGAUGUUGUUGUUGUUUUGUUGAGCUCUGGUAUGACGUAGUUAAGUAUGAUAUACAUGAAUAAUACUGAUGGUGUUGAUAUGUUGAUUAUGAUGCAUGUUUGGUGUGCAUGCAUUCAUGAAAGGCCGAUGCCUAGUGAUGAACGGACUGAGUUCCAAUGUUGUUGUUGACUCCGGGCUUGUUGAGGGGCUUGGUUCCUUACGGGGAACUCGGAUUCUAUGGUGAUGAAUCUGGGAGUGGUGAUCCUGUAGUUGGUCACAAAAUGGGUAUACCGAGUCGCGUAGAGUCAUGCAUGGUGUGUACAUUGCAUUUGAUAUGUUGUUUUGUUGAUGUUCACGAGUUUGUUGAUUAUGAUGAUUAUGAUGAGCUGUGUUGGCAUACGUGAAAUAUAUUUAUGGUUACAAUUCUGUCGUUAUAUUAUUAUUUAAUAAUGUAAUUCUCACCUCUUCUGCAUGUGUUUAUGUUCAUCUAUGAUGAACAAUGUGCAGAUAAAGAGGAGUAGCUAUUGUUGAGGUUUGAAGAAUAAGUGUAGAGUUAUUCUACAGAGUCGAGUCAAAUGCUCUGGUCAUGUGACACCGGGGUUAUGGGAUUCGAUAGAUAGUUGGUUAUUAUUUACGUUGUUUAUGAUGACUAAAUGUUGAGAUGUUUUGUUGAGAAAAUGUUGAGAUAUUAUUAUGAAUCGUUAUAUGAUGAAUUAUAAUAUUAAUAUUGUUGUCCGCUGCGAAGUUUUAAUAAAAUAAAUAAUAUGUUUUUUGUUGUGAUGCGUAAAUUGUUAUGUUGUAAGAAAUGUAAACUAUUCUACAUGUUGUACUCUGAUAAUCUAUUUAAAUAUGUCGUUUGGGUAGAAGGGUGUUACAGCUACCACCAUAAAGGCCACAAUAUGCAUGCUAAUCACCUAGCAAUGCAACAUCACAACAAAAUCCACAAUGGACAUAUGCUCACACUCUAAGCCAUAAAACAGUCCAUUCACAACACAUGUAUAACAUAUACAUUCACAAUAUUAUGCAUGCCAUCAUACAUCAUCAACACAUGUAUCAAAACAUCAUAUCAUGUCAAAUAAUUCAAUCACAGUAUUAGCACACUCUACUAAUACCUAUACUGCUCAGAACAGCGGGAAAUAAUCCCUACUAUAUCACACACCGAUAUAGGCCAACCAUCACAUAUACACAUAACAUUUAAAAUAUUCAUUUUUCCACUUUUUAACAGUGUUAACCGGUUAACGCCCUGGGUUAACCGGUUAACGCAACACAGAACACACUUUCUGGCAAAACGCAACAGUGUUAACCGGUUAACGCCCGGGUUAACCGGUUAAACGCAGACAGAAACAGCACUAUCUCAGCACAAACACAACAGUGUUAACCGGUUAACACCCUGGGUUAACCGGUUAACGCAGACAAAACAGCAAAUAUUCAAAAUACAUAACAGUGUUAAACCGGUUAACACCCUGGGUUAACCGGUUAACGCAAGAAGAAAGCUGUUCCUGCGCUAACACAAAGCAGAAUGCAGAACUUCUCCGCAAUUUCCGCCGUUGGAGGACUUCCGGACCUCCGAUUCCAAUUCCGUAAAAAGCUAUACGAUCGGAAAACACUACCCAUCCAAUUACCGAUUAAAUUUCAGAUUUAACCACAACUUACUCAUCACAAUUUCAGCAUUCCAAAUCCCAAUAGGGUUAAUUCAACGGUUUAUCACUACCCAUUACAUGCUAACCAUAAUACCCAUUAAACGACGAUAAACCCCCCUUACCUGAUUAAUCCGGCAAUCUCUAAGCUCCAAGCUUUUCUCCUCUCCAAUCUUUCUUCCUCUUGCUCUGCCUCUUUGCCCUUUCUCCACUUUCAAUCGCUUCUCUGUUUCACGUGAAACUUUUUUUCCAAAUGAGACUCUUUUUCUUUAUUUCACACUUAUAUAUUUUCCACUUUAUAUUAUUAUCCCAAUAAUAAUAAUAAUUCAAUAAUUCCAAAAUAAUAAUAAUAAUAAUCCAAUUAUCUAAUUAAAUUAAUAAAUAUAUUAUUAACUCAAUUUAAAUAAUUAUUUUAUUAUUAUCGGGGUGUUACACAUAUCAUAUCAUAAGCAUUUGGUGGCCUCUUAGGGCCAAAAAUUAUGCAUGUUUGUAUUUAAGUCUCUUAAAUCACGCCAAGAUGAAAAUUCCAAUAUUCAUAUCUCCAGAUUGAUGAAACUUAAAUAGGGGCAUCUAUCAUACCCUAAUUUUAAACCCUAAGAUACCACCAUCAUUUAUAUCAUUUGCAUGACAUCUAGCAUAUUUGCAUUACUAACCUAUUGAAAAUACAAAAAGAUUUUCUACUUUGUUUGUCUUAAGUUAGGGUUUUGCACUAAGAGCUUUCAAAGAUUGAUCAAUCAAGACUUGCCAUGAGUUUCAAAAUUUCAAACUCUUCAUCCUUCCCAAGUUAUCAAGUGAAUUCCAUCAACAAGAAUCAAGUUCAAGAUCAUUCCAUCUCAAAUUUAUCAAGGGCAGAGUUCAUCUGAUACCCUUAACUAGGGUUUUAACCCAAAGUCAAUUGGUUGACUUUUUAGCCAAGGCAUGAUUCCAAAGCUUGAAGUAUGGUUCAAAGACUUCAAAUACAUCAUAAUUGAUCCAUUCAUAUCAUCCAAUGUGACCAAGAGAUCCCAUUCAUUAAAGAUUGCAAGAAUUGGAUUCAUCUGAUACAAAGUCAACUAAGGCAAAGUCAAAGUUUGACUUUUGACAUUUUUGGUCAACCGUGGACUUCUCAACUCAAGGAUCAUGAAAAUAUGGUUGAUGGAUGCAAUUGAUCAAGAGAAAACAAGAAAUUUGAGGUUACUUGCAAAAAGGGCAAGAUUUGGUUUUGUAAUUUUUUCUAGUUAUGAAAAAAUACAUGUUCAAGUACCCAACUUUCCAAGGCCAUAACUUGUGAUCCAAACUAUCAUUUUCUUUGCUCCAAUGAUCAUAUUAAAGGUCUUAAUUCAUACUAAAAUUUCUCCUUGAUGAAUGAUUUCCAAAAAAAUGCAAGGAUUUCAAGUUAUGAAGCCAUGAAGUUGGUAUCAUAAAAUUGAAACACUUAGAAAAAAUUUCAACCAAAUCUGCCUUCAAAAAGUGACUUACUUGAUCAUCAUUUUUAACCAUGAUCCAUAUUGAUUCAAGUAAAACUCCCAACAUGAAAGUUGUAGAGUAUGGUCUUAUAUUUCCCAAAAAAAAUCCAAGAUUAUGAAAUUAUCAUAUUUGAGCUAGGAGUUUCGAAGAGAUGAAGUUGGCUCUCCAAAUCUAAAUUUUCGGUCAUGUUCAUGGCAAGUUCAUCAUGCAACCUUGAGCCAUAGCUACAUAAUCUUACUUUUCAGGCUAUCUUGCUUCUAAAUCUCACUCUAAUCAGAAGAUCACGCGCACUUUUGAGUCAUUAUUCAAGCAACCAAACCAUUACACAAUGAAUCAUUCCAUUUUUGGCAUAAAGGUUACACUUCCAUUUGUGUAAAGUGGCUUUAACCCAACAUUAAGUACCAUUUAGCUCCUAAAUGGAUUUGGUUCUGAGACAUACCAACUAUAAACCUCAAGUCAACUCCUACACUUCAGACAAAGCUCAACAAAACACUUCAUGCACCUCAUGCUUUUGCCAUGCUUCCCACUUGGUGCUUUGUGCAAUAACCAACUAAGCAAGCAAGCUAGUACAAUCCACAAUUAUUUUAUGGUAUUUGAAGCUUAUUGAAUCCUCAAGGAUCACUACAAAUAGAGGACAAAGCCUCAACUAUCCAUACACCAAGCUCACCAAGAAAAACUUCAGUUUUGCAAGCUUUUAACCUUAAUCUCCAUUUCUCUCAUCUUGCUCGUGCAUUUUGCCAACCAAGGGUUCCAAUUACCUUCUGGGAGUUCAUAAGCAUUGGGAGAAGCAUCAAACAGUAGUUGGAAGAGGUAUUGAAGAGGCAUUGGACCUUGCUCCAAUAGGUAUAUUCUUGCACUUCAAAACUCACUAUACAUGCAUCAUUUCCAUGUGAUUUCUGAAGCAAAUAUGUAACAUUUAUUGUGUUAAGGUUGAUCAUUAACUCACAUGCCAUUUAUCUUGUUGUUUAUUUGAAUUUAAGUUGCAUAAAACCUAAACUUUUAGUUCUGGUUUUGGACUUCGUGCAUCUCCAUCUUUGAGUAUUAUCUAAAACCUAUCGUACCAUUGUGUUCCUUACAUUUUUCUAAGCAAUUUUGAUCUUUAUUUCAUGAAAAAUGGUUGAGAAAUGAGAGAGAUAUGAUUGAUGCAAGAUUUGAAAAAUAAUGAAAGAAAAAAAAACGAAAAUAAGAAGCUAAAGGUUGAAGAAGAUGCUGACAUGGCAUUGAAAAGUAAAACCAAACGUGUUUUUAUAAUAUAUAUAUAUAUAUAUAAUUCCUUGUGUUAUAAUGAACGGAUGUAUAACCACCCCUAUGCAUGGCAACGGGGUGAGUCGGAGAUGGUUUUUACCUCCCCCAAACUCAAACCCGAAUCCCCAAAUAAUCCUCGUUCCCUGCCCCAAACCCAAACGGGGAUGGAGAAUCAAAACCCAAACCCGUUCCAAGCGGGUUCGAGUUGGGUUCGAGUAUCCCCGCCCUGCCACCAUUCAUUUAGUGAAAUCAAUUUUUUUAAUAGAAAUAUUUAUUUUUUCCAAAAUAAAAUUACAUUACAAAUAAUAAAAGAAAACAAUCUAAAAAAAUUCCAUACAUACAUUUUAAAUGUUUUAAAUAAUAAAUUAAAAUUAAAAUAUCAAAACAUUGACCACAUAUUUAGUAUUCUAAAUUAUCAAAAAUAAAUAAUAAUGUACGUAAUGAAAUAAACGGGGCGAGUUCGGGGUGGGUACUAGUAUCCCCAUUACAUGACCCGUCCCCAUAUUUUAUAAUCGGGGGAAACCCAAACCCAGUCAAAGCGGGUUUUCCCCGUCAACUUUGGGGCGGGUUCGGGUGGGUACCCGCGAAUACGGGUUAUGUUAUCAUGCCUAGCCACCCCAGUGGUAGAAGUGUGUGCCCUAAGUCACUUGUAACCAAAAGGUCUGGGGUUCGAAUCUCCCUCGCCCCAAACUUUGGUUUUUAUUUUUCCAAACAGUGCAUGAAACCUCAAGAACGUAGGUUCGAACCUGACCAGUGUAAUGUUUAUUUCUCACUUAUUAAAUGUUCAUUUUUCUUCAUAACUUCAAAUAUCCAUAACUUCAUGAUCCCUUAACAUUUUUGACCCAUUCUUUUUGUCAUAUGUUCAUGAGAAUGUCUAUUUUAUGAUGGCACCAAAAAUCCCAAAAAUAUUAUUUAUUUCACCACUUUUUAUUGGAUGGAAAACAUGUGUUUUUAAGGGUUUUUUAAGGCUCCUAAUUGAUUCUUUUGGCUUAUUUCUUGUUUGUUCUUGACAUUGAAAGCUUGUAUGAUUAUAGCACACUCUUUUAUAUGUUGAUUGUUAUCCUUAACAUGUUUGAACUUGAUUAUCUUAAUACAAUAUAUCAAUUGAUUCACCUUGAAAACAUGUUUGAAUGAAUGGUUAGGAGGUGAUUAGGGUUUCCACUUAAGUUUGGUCUUAUCAUGAACUUUGAUUCAAGUUUAAUGUUUAUUUUAUGAAGACUUAUAAUGUGAUGCAUGUUUGACCUAAAUUGAUUCAUGUUGUGUUUAUCAUGUACCAAUGAAUGCCUUUACCAUAUCAAAUAUGAUUUUGUCUUCGCCAUCAAUGUGUUAUGUCUUGUGAUGUUAUGUGAAACUUCAUCAUGUUUUAUUUAUGUUUAUCUCAAUGCCUAAAAACCAUGAUCAAUAUUGUCAUCCAUACCUUACUCACCUUGUGAUUGCCAUUGUAUUUAGAUAUAUUUUGUGCCUUAAUGUUAAUGCAUAUUCAACCUUAUUAUUGUUUAUAUCCAAGGGAAAGGAAUCAUGACAUUCUUGUCAUUUUGCAUGUGUGUGUUCAUCUGCAUCCUAUACGACUUUGCUUUCCCUUAAUCCAAAACUUCUAGAUACAAUCUUAGGUUCCCCUCAAUGUAAACCUUAGGAUUUUAUCUCUCUCUCUCUCUCUCUCUCUCUCUCUCUCUCUCUCUCUUUCUUAUAACCAAUUUCAUAAUAAACUUUGACUUAGGUCAUUAUUUUUCCUUUUAUUUCUUAAUCAAAUGCUUCAAAACACUUAAGCAUAUUCAAAGAUCUUUUCAUAAGACCUAAAAAACACAAACUUAAUUCAAACCCUUUUGCCACUUUGGCUUUUACAUGUUUAAAACAUUUUCAUAAAAGGAUUAGACAUGAGUCAUCCCUAGUUGAGAUUUAAAUCUCCUACCCCAUAAUGUUGUUGAGUUUGAUAUUGAUUAUUUUCCAUUUGGAAGAGGUACGUGGCAUACUUAUUGAUUCUAUAUCCAAGUGAGGGCCCUUCUUUCAAUUUGAUGCAAAGAUCUAUCUUCCGUAUGUUUGCCGUGGUUUAAAAGUGAGUUGUCUCCUUAAGAUGACAAUUUGUCUAUUUCUCAUAAAAUCAACCCCAACAAAUCCCUUCUUACUUUUGAACCCGAACUACGAGGUUUUGAUCCUUCACAGAUACGUAGGCAUAAGACUCAAUGUCUUUCCAAAACAUCAAACAAUAAAAAGAUAUUCUUUUUAUCAUCUCCCCAAUCAAAUAGAAAACAAUUUUAAACCAAACACAUAUAGUUAAAAGGUUCCUGUAGAUUAUCACAGAUGAUUAGGGUGUUAAUACCUUCCCUUUUCAUAACAUACCCAUGUGCCUUAGAAUCCCCCCCCCCUAAUUAGCUUAAGUUUAAUCUUCUAGCUUUGCAUAUACAUAUUGGGUUAUUUUUUAAUCUUUUCCCCUUCCCUUGGAUAAAUUAAAGUUCAGUGGUGAUAUUUUGAUUCAUGAGUCAAGUCUAAUCAAUAGCUUGGUCUCCGAUUCUUCACCGUGACAAAUACCAAAUUUCUUUGAUUAUUUCUAUUGUAAUCCCCCCUUGAAAAAGGGCAUAGACAUUCCUCUGAGAAAUCUACAAGGUGAAGAAAUUCUCCCCAAAAAAGUGGUCUCCCAAGAGCCAAGAUACUGUUAAGAAUAAUAAGUCAAGUGUGAGUUGGAGUCCCGCGUUGGUUAUAAAUAUGGAGACUUGAGUAUUUUUAUAAGUAGGAGAACUCACACACCUAUCACCUUAAAGUUUUAGGUGGAUAUGUGGUGUCUCUCUCACUUGUGUGUUGCUCUUAACCCAAUGUUGAUGCUCCUCCUCAUGACCAAUAAAAUGGUAUCAUGAGCCUUUGGUUUGAAUAAAGGAACCGACUUACUUGUAUCGAAAUUCUCAAAAAGAGGUAUCCUGUUGAAAUCGAAAUACACAAGAAAAGGUGUAUCGAAAUACCCAAGAAUAUGUGUCAACAACGGUACAAGUGUAUGUGGACAAAAGAGUUUCCACUUGAGGGGGAGCAUUGUGGACUCACACUUGAAGGAGGUUGUUAAGAAUAAUAGGUCAAGUGUGAGUUGGAGUCUCACAUUUAUUAUAAAUAUGGAGACUUGAGCAUUUAUAAGUGCGAGAAUCCACACAUCUAUCAUCUUAAGAUUUUAGGUGGAUAUGUGGUGUCUCUCUCACUUGUGUGUUGCUCUUAACCCAAUAUUUAUGCUCCUUCUCGUGACCUAACAAAUGUGAGUAGUGUGGGUAAUAGUUUCACAUUGAUUGGAAAUAUGGAGACUUGAGCAUUUAUAAGUGAGAGAACCACUACUACAAAAUAGAUCUUUCGUAACACCCAUUUUACAACAGUCUUUCUCAUAACCUUGGUAAUAAUUUUUUUGGGCACUUUUUUUUUGGUAUUUACUAAAAGACAUUUCACAAGGGUCGUAAGUAUCAACCAUGGUGAAAAGUGGUGCAUAUUCAUGAGUUCGAAUCCUAGCACCUAUAAUUUUGUUUUUAUUUAUUUUUAAGACACUUUUCACCACGGUUGGAACUUCCAACCGUCGUGAAAAGUGGCGCCUGGUCAUGAGUUUGAAUCAUAGCACCUACAAUUAUAUCUUUAUUUAUUUACUAAAAGGGAUACAACAACAGUUGUUUAAAUUAACCGUUGUUAUAGGUAUAAUUUUAUUUAUUUUAUUUUUAUUAAAGUAAGCGUGUUUAUUGAGUUUUUUCACUGUUCUUAAACAAAUCUUUGUCGCCCAUUUGGUGAGUAUCAAUGCUCAAGACACUACCAUUAGUGAUCCACGUGAAAUCUAAAACUUAGAUGAACUUCCAACUUAGACGAGCUUCAUCUUCUACCUCAAAACAUCUUCUUUCAAUUACGACUCUCUAUUUCUCCAUUAAACCAAACUCAAAAACAUCAUUUCUUCCAUAAACAAAACUCAAAAAUAUAAUUUCUUUCAUUAAAAAAUUCCAGAACUCCAUCACCUCUUCUCCAACUUGAAUGGGACAAGGAAAAUAUGGAUUCAAGUUAGCAAUGCUAGUUAUUUUUGUUCUUCUUGUUGUUCUUACUCUUAUUCUUCUUCUUCUUGUUGUUGUUGUUGUUCUUGUUGUUACUCUUGCUUAUGUUGUUCUUAUUUUAGUUCUUGUUGUUGUUCUUAUUUUAGUUCUUGUUGUUCUUGUUGUUCUUGUUUUUGUUCUUCUUGUUCUUGCUGUUAUUGUUCUACUGCUGCAUUUUUUAAUUUUAUUAAAAGACAUACAGCAACUAUUGUUUAAAGUAGUCAUUGUGAUAGGAUGAGACAUACAAUAACAGUUGUUUAAAGUAACUGUUGUGGUAGGUAACACGCUACUUGACUUAUAAUCACGGUCGUACGAGCGUGGUGGAAAGCGCCAUACAUCCAAUAACACCUUACCUCACAAUGGUUGGUCCAACAUGGUGGUAUCUAUUUUCCAACCAUUAUGAUAGGUUUUUUCCGUAGUAAUAAACCCACUCACCUAACACCUUAAGGUUUUGGGUGAAUAUGUGGCGUGUCUCUCACAAAGGUGUUGCUCUAAAAGAAGAAUUUUCACAAUGUUCAAUGUUUGUGUUUCCAUCAUUCAAUCGAGAGCUUGACGAUGGUAAAAACACUCUCACCCUCGCUAGUGGUGUCAACGCCACCUUCUUCCUCGACCGACCACGACCCAUUCUCUCUUUCCAACUCUUAAAGAGAUAAAAAAUAACUAUCAAAAGUAUUAUUCAAAUAUACUUAAUACUAAUUCAAUUAAAAAUUAAGGUUAAUUAUAGUUUUGAUCCCUUUUUUAAGGGAUUCAUGAAGUUAGUCAUCGUAUUUUAAAUUCAAAUGGUUUUGAUCUUUCUCAUUUUUUUGCAUUGAAAAAUUGAUUAGAUGUCUAUUUUUUAACGUAUAUGAUGAUUUGUCACAUUUUACAAAUGACGCGCCAUUUAAAAAUGAAUACUUCGUCAUUUUUAGGUCCAAAGAUGUAAAAAAGAUAUCAAAACUACUUGAAUUUUAAGUAGAGAGCACAAAUGUGUAAUUAAACAAAGAGAUUAAAAAGUAGUACAGUGAGAGUGUAAAAUAGGUCUACACUAUCAUCCAAUAGAAAUUAAUUAAUUUGUCAUGUUAUUAACAUAAUUUUAAAAUAUAAAUGUGAUUUAGCGGGAUAUCGCCGGUAAUUAAUUGAUAAUAAAAUUUUAGACUAUCAAUGUAUUUUUUUUUAUCUUAAACAAAAAGAUUUGAUAAAAACACCUAAUAAAAAUAAUAAUAUUCGUUUUUUAUUAAAAUCUUAAUAAUUUAAAUAACAUAGGAAAAUAUCAAUAAAAAAACAUUCAUAAAUUAUAACCAAGAACUUCAGCAUAUGUUAAAGAUAAAACAAAUAUGUUGUGUUAAAAUGUUAGAUUAAACUUAAAUUGUUCGAAAAGUUAUAAUAAUUGAUUAGUAUAAAUAAAUUUGAGAGUAGAAAAAAAUAAAAAAUAAAUAUAAUACGAAACAUUAUGGUGAUAAAAAAAAUGUGAAUAGUAAAAAAAGAAAAAUAAUAUUUAUUCUUUGAUGAAAUUAGAAUUGUUAUGCAAACUUUUUAUGAGCCGAUGCAAGUUAAGUUACUGUUAUCCGGUUCCAAAGCAAUACAUGAAUAAAGGGAUAGAAAGAAGAGUUUAAUGGGAAUGCAAUUUUAGAUUGUCAUAGAAUUCAUCACUCAAUUAUAUUAUAUUAUUAAUUUAAAAUUUAUGAUCAAUGUAACGGAGACAUGAUGGUAAUGUUGGUGCAUAAGGUGAAGAAGAUGAAGAGAGAGAGAGAGAGAGAGAGAGAGAGAGAGAGAGUUGUGGUGACCCUCCCCUGAAAUUCACGUGAAGCCACAAAUAUAUUCCCCAUCUGAGCUUUUUUGAAUCCCAAAUGAUAAAGGCAUGUGGAAAUCCCUUAGUGGUGGAAUAUGAGAUAUUUUUUAGAUAACAUUCAAUGCUUAGUUGUACAUGUGGCAUCAACUGAGUGGAAGGAUAGACAUAUUUUGAUUUUUCUUUAUUAAUUAUUUAUUUAAAUCUUAUUUCUUCAUUGGAUGACUGGAAUAAGUGUGGAUAGCUAAUAUGAGCCAUUGGUUAACUUAAAUCAAUAAUCCAUAUUAAAUCAAAGAAGUACACAUAAGCUAAAAUGUUUAUAAAGCCCUUUCUAGAAGCUUUAAAAGAUUAAAAACCAAUUAAAUUAAAUAAAAUUCACAUCUUUUAAAAUAAACAUGAUAAAAAUCAAAUGAAGGCAUGAAAAAUACUAUUUAAUUUUUCUAAAUAUUUGCUAAAAGAAUAAAAAUAAAAUGAUUGAAUAUGAAUAAAAAUCAAGCGCAAAAGUGACCGAAAAAUUAAAAUGAAUGCACUAAAAUGAUCAACGUGAAAUAAACUUCUUGGAAACAUACGAGUUUUUAUUAAAUUUUGAAGUAAAAAAUAUCCAAAUGAAAAGGCUCGGGUUGACCAAAAUACGACCUAAAAAGUAGUCGAAAAAAUAAAACGAGCACGCCAAGUUAAACUACACGAAACAUAGAUUAAUAAAACUGACGUCUACAGGUCCAAUCUUUAAAUUUUUCACCCGUUAGUUUUACGUAUAUUUGAUAAAUGAUUCAACCGGUGUGUCUGUAGAUCUGAAAAUUUAUUCUGGUUGACAUUUUAGGCAUUAUGCAUGAUGAAAUGCAUGUUUUCUAUACAGAUGAUGCAAAGUAAAAGUAAAGUAAAGAUGCAUGAAAGUUUAAAAAUGCACAGACAAAAUUGGGAUAUAACAAUUAUAAAACCUGAAUUAUGAAUAAACCUUAUUCCACAAAUUGAUCCCUUGGAGACUUGAGUUACAAAGAAAAUAGAACAAAAGAAACUUAAAAACUAGGAAUGAAAAAGUGACAAAAGUUGGGAACCCUAACUCAUAACAGGCUAUGAGUUUUAUAGCGAAAUAAUAAAAGUAUAAAAUAUAUUUGGUUCAAUGUAAAAUAUUCAGAUUCGAUACAUAUACAAUAAUGCCUAAGAGCUACAAUUAAGAGUGAAUCAAAUCUAUCUAAGGAAGCAAAAUAAAUCUCCAAUUUUUCUCUCGCCUCCUUGCUACGGCCUGUAGCAGCUGCUACGGGCGGCCGUAGCAUGCCUCUGGAUUUUCUAAUGGAAAGUAGCAAAUGGAGAAACUAGGGCAUCGUGUUGCUAUGAUCCGUAGUAGCUUUUACAAGUGGCUAUAGCAGCCCUCUGAUUUUUGUAAUGGAGAAAUUUCCAAAUUUCUGUUUUGCCCCGUUUUUCUUGUCUUUGACCCCUCUUUGUCUUGGAUGCUCAUUAGACCAUGGAAUUAACCAAAAAAACACAAACCAAAGCAUAAAAUAUGAAAAAUGAAAUAAAAUCAAAAAAAAUACGGUAAAAUACUAAAUAAAAACUAUUAGAAAUAACAAUGCAAAGAGCAUUUAUCAAUCUUCAAUCACAAUAUACAAGACGAUGUAUGUGGUCGUUUGCGUCUUUUGUUCUUAAUAAGCUUGAAUCUAAGUAUGGAAUGCACCUAAAAAGGGGUGAAUUAGGAACUUUAAAAAAAUUUCGGUUUUGGAAUUGGAUGUGAUUAUUUUUCCGGUUGAGUGUUAAGAGAUGAAUGCGGUAAAGUGCAAAACAAUAAAGAACACAGUGGUGUAUCCUGAUUCCCCUCACAAUUCAACGGUACUCUAAUUACCCUUAUGCACUAAGAGAUUUUACUAUCUUAUUUGGACUUUGUACAAGCAAUCCUAGUCUCUAUACACAAGAUACCAAACACAUCAAUAAGGACAAUCCCAUUAUUAUAUACACCAAGUGACUUAAGAAAACAAUCUUCCCUUAAUCACUCUAUUGCUUCCAACAAUUUUGGACAACAAAGAUUCAAAUACUAUUCCGCAUUUUACAAGAGUUUAUGAAGUUGUAUACAAUGUAUCAAUCAUUUAGAUUGAUCUUCUCAUUUUGAAUAUGUAACACAAGUGCUCAAUUAUAUAUUUGGUUAAAACUAUGUAAAGUUGCAAUGAAGAUUUAAUGCAGAAGUUUCAACAAAAAUUCUAUUAAGAAUACUUAAUUUUUGAAAAUGAGAGAAAAAUAAUAUUUGAAUUGUGGAUGAAGGAGGUGACUUUCAAAAUCUGAAAAAGUAUGGUUUAUAUAAUGCCUUAAUACCUCUAUGAAAAAGUACAUAUGCAUGAAUAGUUACCAUGGUUCAUAUGUCCCUUAAAAAAUUCGUUAGGAUCAGAAAAAUGUUGAAACACUGUCACUGGUUUAGUGGUAACCGGUUACCAUAUAUGUUUGAAUUCAUCAUAUACUUUUAUACAUGAGUUACAAUAUGAUUGAGAAACAAAAUUAUCAAGUAUAGUAACAGAAAAGUAAAAAAAAACGGGCUUGUAACCCGUCACACUAUUUGGUUAAUCGGUUACACUUGAUAUGAAAAUAAUUUCUCUUCAGUGGUAACCGGUUCACGUCAUAGGUUAACCGGUUACAGUAACGAAAUAAGCUAUUUUCUGUUACUUGGAAGUGCUUCUGACCUUGCUGUAACCGGUUAUCAUCCCGUGUUAACCGAUUACAACAUUUGAAUUACUUGAAUAACUUUCAUCAAGAUGAAGACUAUGUUGAUCGAAUGUUGGGAAAAAAUCAAAAGCUUCAAACUAUGUUUUUCCGCAUAGUUCUAGGAAAACAAGUAAUAUGAAGAGAUAUGAAAUUGACAUAUGUAUAAUUUACUACUAAGUUUGUUUAUAACAAAAGAUUUAGACAACGACAACCAAGAAAGCAAGACUCGUCGUCUAUUGCUAGACUUCAUUAUACUCCAUCGAUAAGUAAGUGGUGAGUUGUACUAUAUGAAAAUUUUAUACACACAACAAAAAGAUUGAAUAAGUUGGUAAAUAUUAAGAUAAUUAGUGGUACCACAUAUAAAAAUUUCGAGGAGGUGUGUUUUACAUUGGGGUUAUUAAAUGACGACAAAGAAUUUAUAUAAUUGAAGAAUGAGUGAGAUUUCCUUUAGAAAUCAAUUGACAAGGUUCUUUGCUAAAUUAUUAGGGAUGAACUCCAUGUCACAAACCCUUAUUAGUGUGGAAUAGAACUUAGAAACUUAUUUAUGACAAAAUACUCUAUGGAAGAAAGAAAGCUUUAAAAAUUUCAGAAAAUUGGACAAAUUGCUUUCUAUGAAUGGUAAGUUUAUUGAAGAUUUUAUUCCACUCACUAUGACUUUCAAAACAAAUUGUUGGUCGAUGAAUUGAACUAUGACAAGAAAAAGAUGCCAAAACUAAAUUAUCCUUAUUGAAUUCACCCACAACAAAGCAACUAUAUGUGUUUGACAAGAUUAUUAGCAUCGUCCAAUACAAUUAUGGAGAUUUUUUUUCUUCUUAUAUGGAUGUGGAUGAAGUAGAAAAACUUAUGUUUGGAGAAAUUUAUCUUUUACUUUUAGAUCAAAAGGAAUGAUUGAUAUACAUUAUGCAUAUGACUUUCAAUAGUAUUGAUUGGUAUACAUAUGGCUUUCAAUAGUAUUGAUUCUCUACUCCUCCAUAGAGGAAAAACUAUUCAUUCAAUACUAUGCAUCCAUUGUUUUCUGAUGAGAACUUUACUUGCAAUAUAACCACGAGAUUUUUAGAGAGCAAUUUCUACUUCAUGCAAAAUUUAAAUUUGGGAUGAAGCUUUAUUGUUAAGUAUAUUUUAUCUUAAAGUUGUUUGUAAAACUCUUUCAAAUAUCAUUAAGACUCAAAAUAUGUACCAUAAAUAAUAUUAUUCGUACCCUUUUUAUCAUGUCUAUUUACCUUCGUUAAUGUGGCAUCAUGCACUACAAAUAUCCACUUACUUAUAUAAUAUCCUUUCAAAUAAAAAGUCUUACCUGUAAUCAUCCACUAAAAUACUCUACGAAAAAGAUUCAUCCUAUUUUCAUCUUCGAGUUUUUAGAUGUUUUUGUUAUCUUCUCAUCCUUUAUGCUUUUAGAAAUAAAUUACAAGUUCAGUUCACAGAUUGUAUCUUAUUGGGAUAUCCACCAAAUUAUAGGGAAUAUAAUUGUUAUGAGUUGUCUAGAUGCAAAAUAUUUAUUUCCCAACAUAUUACUUUUGUAAAAAAUAAUAUAUUUCUUUUUUCUAAUUUAAAUGCUCCUACAAAGAUUGGUUAUAAUUUUUUGAAUGAUGAUACACCUUUUCUUCCAUUCCAUGCCUAUAACUCCCUACCAAAAACAAUCUAGCUCAUACUCAACUUUCAGGAAUAAGAAGAACUAUGAUGAACCUUUCAAGUGAUACAAAGUUCGUCUUGAAGAUAAUGGUGUGAAUAAACAAAUUGGUAUCGACUAUGGUGACACAUUCAGCCAUGUGGUCAAGUUGGCUAAUAAUUGCACUGCACUUAGUGUUGUUUUAUCCAAAUCAUUGUGUCUUUGUAAAUUAGAUGUUAAAAAAAAUUCAUUGUAACCUUAAUAAAACAAUGUACAUGCAUUAACCUUUUAUAUUUCUUUACCCUCAAUUUCCUAAUCAUGUAUUUUUACUAAAGAAAUAUCUAUAUGGACUCAAACAAGAACCUCAUGCCUGAUUCCAAUGUUUUACUGAUUUUGUAGCUAUAAUGGGGUUCUCUCAUGCUUUUUUAUCUCUCUUUAUUUAUAUAUAUAUAUAUAUAGGUUGUACUUAUAAUAUAUAUAUUAUAUAUUAUUAUAUAAUCUAUAUAAUAACUAUAUAUAUAUAUAUAUUAUAAUUAUAUUAUUAUAAUAUUGUCCAUCGUUGCUAUAACAUCACAUAUAUUCUUUUGUAUGUACAUGAAAUUAUUCUUGUUGUGUCAUCUGACGCUCUUGGUGGGUUUAUUAUGGCCUAACUUAGUUUUGAAUUCUCCACGAAAGAAUUUUAGUUAUUUUCUUAAUAUAUUUGUUAUUAGACAUUUCAAAGGUCUUUUAUCUCUCAAAAUAAAAUAUAUAGCAUAAAUAAUAGAGUGCGCUGAUAU